rnacentral:lncRNA from 1 species
GAGGAUGGAAGGCACGAGCGGCUCGAGGACCUCCGGCUCCGAGAGACGGCAGAGGAACCGCAGGGUGACGCCGCGGAUGUACUCGUUGGGGUGCUGCAGGUUGUUGCGGAGGUUCUGGCAGAUGAGGAUCAUCUCCGGGAGGGCGCGGCCGGUCGAGUCGCGCUUGUCAAUGAUCUCAAGGUAGAGGAGGAGCAGCUUCUGGAUGGUGUGAUCCUCGGAAGGGAGGACGUACCGGACGAUGGUGAUGAAGAGCUGCGGCAGGGACUCGCCAUUGAGGAGGAGCAUGACGGCGCGCUUCAUGGCCUCGACCUUGGCUGCGACGUCGCUGCCCUCCAGAUUCGCCUUGAUCUCGUUCGCCAUGGCGGCGGAUCCCUUGUCGAAGUGGACCAGCAGCGUGCACGGCUUGUCCAUGGCGCCGGACAUGCCGUGCACCCUUGCCGGAUUGCGCCGGCGACAGGGGUGGCGGUGGUUGGAUCUGGGGCGGAGGCGGAUCGGGAUCUGAGAGCGGGAGGAGGGGGGUGGUGGUUAAUGGGUUGAAGAGGCGAGAGCCCACCCCAUCUUGGACUUGACUAUUCCUUCAUUUCUAAGGUUUUUGGUAUUUAUCAUCCGGAGCACGGGGUAUGCGGGCAUUAGGGCUUUGAAUGGGUCUGGACUCUGCGGUGUGUUGUAUGAGGUGCUGGGCUUGGCCCAUUUAAAUCAUAAAUGGGCUUCGCCAGUUGUUCUCACAUUUGGCAUCUGAGGUCCUGGGCUUGGCCCAUUUAAAUUAAAAAAAACACCACAUUAGAAAUUAGGAUUUCAUAUAGGUACCAAUUUACUCCCUCUGAUUCUAGAUUCUUGACUCAAAUUUGUCAAAAUAUGGAUGUAUCAAUUCUUAAAAAGCGUCUAAAUACAUGUAAUAUUUUGACAACAAUUUAGAAUCGGAGAAAAAAUCACCAGAUUUAUUUAACCCCUCGCUUGCUCGCGUCUAAGCAUAUUUCGGAAUGGCCCAUUUUCGGGCUAGCGUGUCUUACCAGGGUAGCCUGCCAGCGUGUUCUCCUUCUCUUCUCCCCACCGAGCCAGCCAUCUCCAGCGAGGACGCCGAGCUCGAGCCGCCUCCUCCCGCGCCGCGAUUUCUUUCCCAAGUCCGGCAGCACGUUGCCGCAGCCCGUGCCUCCUCCGCCACGCCGACGGGCGCGCCACAGCGAGCAGAGCGAGCGGCCGCGCGCGGAGCGGGCAGAGCAAGCGCAGGGUGUGCGGCCGCGAGAGGCGCGAGUGGAGCGAGCGCGGCCCGAGCGAGCGUCGGGCGCGUGGGAGCACCACUCCGCCACCCCGACGGGCGUGCGACAGCGAGCAGAGCGAGCGCUGGGCCAGCGGCGGCGCGCGGAGCGGGCAAAGCGAGCACAGGGGGCACGGCCGCGAGGGACGCGGCCCGAACGGGCGUCGGGCGCGCGGGAGCACCGCUCUGCCACCCUGACGGGCGUGCGACAGCGAACAGAGCAACCGACGGCGCGGGCGAGCAGCCGUGAGCGACAGCGCGGGCGACGGGCGUGCGAAAGCGAGCAGAGCGAGUGCCAGGCAAGCGGCGCGGGCGCAGGGCGCGCGGCGCGACCCGCGCGAGCGGGGCGAGCGGCGGCGCGGGCGACAUGACAGAGCGAGCGCGACGGCAAGCGGCGCAAGCAGCAGAGCGAGAGUAGCGGCUCUACAGGGCCGCGAGAAGCUUCCGUGGUUGAAGAAAGAGAGUAUCGAGAGAUGUUUGGGGAGAGAGAGCAGAAAAAGUCAGAAACCAUCUGUUCAGCCACGCUGACACGCCACGUUGUCAUGAGCGAGUGUACCCGUUUAGUCAGAAAUCUGUUUAAAUGCUAGCGAGUGAUGGAUUAAAUAAACCCUAUCAAUAAUACGGUGGUUUCCUGUAAUUUAUUCUGCUUCUUUCCUAAUUUCCUAAAAAACGUUUAGAAUGUUGACGAAGACGGAUCCAACUCACGAUUCCAGUCGGAACUUCAGAAUUCCGAUUCACACGUCCCUGACAUGAUGCGGUAAAAAAAGUGCGACUUCUGUAGAAUUGGACGAUAACAAUAAAAACAUGACUGGCUACAAAAGAAUAUACGGAGUACAAAGAUCAUAUUACACGCUGGCAGCCAUUGUUGAAAUGUGAAAGCCCCAUAAACAACAACAAAAGAUUGCUACUAAGUAAUACACCUUGUGUUAUGUAUUUGGCGGUCUUGAAGAGCCUACCCAAAUACCUCUACAUCCUCUUGUUAUUUUUGGGGAGUGUACAUCAGUUAGGUCGCCUUAUUAUCAGUUGACAUGGUCACAAAACGACCUUCCAACUGUCACGUCAAAUCAAAACCAGAUUUUUUUUUUCCAGAAAGAAAAAGAUAUAUCGCAUUAGAGCACUAGUACGAGCUGAGAAACUUCGACCAGCAAAGUUAACAAAUACAUGACUUUGCGGCAAACAGAUAAGUAGUAGUUCAAAAAGAUGUUCCCAAGGAAAACGAGGAAGACCGCAGAAGGGGCCGAUGGCGGAUUAGGCGAGAACUCCGACGCGCAACCACAACCAGUCUUUAGGGACCUCGGACCAAUGUGCUCACCUAUAGUAUCUUGGCGGCUCUCCCAGAGAUCUACUAGGCUUGUGCACCCGAGGUUGAAACACCGACGGAGCCACCGCCCGGCAACCCCGGACAGUUGCCCGGGCUCGCCGGACAUUUUUCUACUGAUCACCGGAUUAAUAUGAAAGCUAGAAGAUGUUAUUUCUAGGCAAAAUGCUAGUUUGUGUACGUUUUGCCCAGGCUCAGGAAGCCGGCUGGCUCCGCCGCUGGGUUGAAACCAACCAAGCUGUAGAUUUUCAUAUAAGCCUCAUCAGGCUCAAUUGCAGGUUGACCCUCUCAUGAAAUCCGAGGUUCAUCAACAAUAACGCUCUCACCCGUCAUCGGUGAAACACCUUUAAUGAAAAGGCUCUAACAUUGUCAUAUGAAGCAUAUUCAAACUCAUUACUGAUCCAAAUGCAGCAAAGAUAGAGAUCAUGCAUGGUGCCAUGUGAUGAGUUACCAACCUUGCCUCAAAUGCAACGAUCAAAGUCUCCAGACCACCUCACCUGAAUUUUUAGUCACCACCACAACGACAAGGCGAAAUUGCAUAUAAUUGACCAAAAGACUGCUAGCAACCCAAGAAUACUCCAUGAGAAAAAAAAAACACUUGCUAUAACCUGGAGUAUCAAAGUGGGCGACAUGUGCUGGACUUGAAUUCGUCGAUUGUAGCUGUGUGGGCGACGAAGGCCAAGGAGCAUUCCCAAGCCAUCUCGUCGGCCACUUCAACACCACCCAACUCACAGCAACCGGCAACAUGCCCAUCAACGAUUUUAUUGCAACAAAGAGAACCCAGUCAUAAUUUGGUUCCUUCCUGAACACAACAUGCACAUGAUGUCCUGUGCAGGGAAGCUGAGACCGAAGAAAUCCACCAUGAAACGCUUGAAACGAACAGAGGCAUCAGGUGCAGGGGGCCUUUUGGAGGAUGAACACAACAUGCACAUGAUGUCCUGUGCAGGGAAGCUGAGACCGAAGAAAUCCACCAUGAAACGCUUGAAACGAACAGAGGCAUCAGGUGCAGGGGGCCUUUUGGAGGAUGACUCCCCCAGCCGAGGAAACACCACUUCUACAAACCGUGCAUACGUGACGAGUCAUCAGUGACGGGCUUUUCGCACGCCGUCACUGAUAACACACAAUCAAUGACGGUCGCGUGCUCGUCCGUUACUGAUGACCCCUUAUCAGUGACAGACACACCACGCCUGCGCCUGUCACUAAUGACUCCUCAUCACUCACGGGCGCGCAGGGCCCGUCACUGAUGACCACUCAUCAGUCACGGGCGUGGGAGGCCCGUCAUUAAUGGUUAAAUGAAAAAUAGCAAAAUUCACACAAACACACAUUAGUGACGGUCAGUUCAUCUAGGUCCGCCACUCAUGACUCACGGAGACCUUUCAAGAUUGAAAUAAUCAUAACUAAUUCAUAAAAAAUCAAAAAAAUAUGAUUCUUUUUGCUGAAGUCUUAUUUUUUUCUUGCUUAACAUUGAUGGAAUAAUAAUAUCAUAUAUUAGCAAUUGAAAAAUAAAUUAUGUACUACAAACUUGUUAUUUUCCACAUUUGAUGUUUAUGAUUUUAUGUCAAAUGACAGAAGUUUUGUCCAUUUCUAUGCCAUAGUUCAUGAUAAUGUAUCCAUUUUUUGCAUAAAGGUGCAUCUUGUCAUGACAAACAAUAUUGCCAAAUAGUUCUACAAAGUUUUGGUUAUAAAAAAUGAUUUUCUGUUUUCCAAAUGCAAAAUGUCCAAGCCAAAUGUCCAAAGUCACGGUCAUGUUUAUACUUUGGAAGGGGUAAAUCUUUGGCAUGUCCAAAGUACAAUUAAUAUGGUUCAAAAAAUUUACACAAAAUAAUCUAUAUUUAUAACUUUAUAUACCAAUUUAGUUAUAUGAAAUACUUGGAUAUCUUAUGAAUCAUGAAAAUACAAAAACAAUCAUGUUCCACGACAUCACUGACGGGUUUUUGCAAUUGUGCCCGCCAGUGAUGCGUGUUUGGGCCCAAAAUCGUCGGCCCAACCCACCCCUCCUUAUAUAUAAACCUAACACUAACCUAUCUCCCUCUCCACUCCCACUCCCCAGCCGCCAGCCUCCUCUCUUACCCCCUCCCUUCUCUUCCUCUUCCUCUUCCUCUCUGCUUCUCUCCCUCUCCUCCCUCUCCACUCCCGACCCCGGCCGUCAGACCCUCGCGGUGCUGGCCGCUCGCCCCGGCCCCGCUCGCCCCGCCGCCGGCCUCUCACCCCGACCGACUACAGCCCCGGCCACGCUUGCCCCGCCGCCGGCCACGGUCGCUGCAGGUAGAUCUCGAGAUCCCCCUCUCUCUCCCUUAAUCUCUCUCCCUCUAUCAAUGUCUCUCCCUCUCUCUCUUGCAAAUCCAUGUCGUUGGAGGAGGGGAGAUGAGGAGGACGAGCCUAGUGGCUGGCGCGUUCCUGGCCGCAGAAAGGAGGUGGCCACCGCCGGCGACUUAGGAGGAGGCGACGAGUUGGCUGGAUCCGUAGUUUUUUACAAAUUUAUUUCGAUCGAUUUUUGUUUCAAUUUCUGUCCAGGGUUCCAUCAAAUUUGUUGUUUAAUUCUUUCUGUAGAUCGGGUUCUCGUUGAUCCAUUCCAAAAAUAUCAAAUUGUUCAAAUCUGUGGAUGUGGGAUCCGGAUCCAGUGCCCUGACAGAGCAAAGGCACGGCGUGCCCUGCCCCUACAUAUCCACCAUCCAUUUUGAUCGGACGGCGCACAACACUCACAGGCCAACAAGAGUGGGACAGGAAGGGAAACAGUCGGUUGCAGGCAGGAGCGCGGUCAUGGAGAAAGGACGCGGGCCACCGCCGCGGUCGCAGGAAUGGACGACGGCCACCGCCGCGGCAGCGAGAAAGGACUCCGGCAGGCCCCUCCGCUCCCACUCUGCAAACAGGCCAUGAGUCUCAGGCAACGAGAGUACGCAAGGGGAAAAGAGCUUUGUGCGGGCGUUCUUAGCCAAAAUUGCUGCUGCGCGGGCUCUCUCUCAGUGCCGCCGCAACUGCUCUUCAACCGCCGCCACCGGCGGGAGAGGGGCAAGCUCAGCCAGCCGCCGCCGCGGGGGAGGAACAAGCUUCGCCGGCCCCCACUCCGACGUCCUCCUCCGCCCCGCGCCGCUCCGACCGAUUCAUCCGUCUGUCGCUGACGGACCCCAUUGUCUCUCCCUGCUCUGACGACCUCCUCCGUCCUGCGCCAGCUCCUCCGCCCUGCCGUGACGGUUCCAUCUGCUCUGCUGCAACACCUCCUCGACACAGCGUCCUUGCUUCAAAAUCAGUUGUUAAAACUUACAGGAUUGUUCAGCUUUUCAGUGUAAUACAUUCCCUUCAGUACAAUACAUCUUCAAAUUGAAUGCUUGUUAACUGAAUCUCCCGUGCAAACUCAACGCACUGUCUCUCUUCUACUCUGCUAGGCCCUAUCUCUUUUGUUCUGUUGCUUGUUAAGGGCGUGUUUGGUCGCCUGCAAGGCCAUAGCUCGCACCGCAACUGGGAUACGGCAGCUGGGAUGCAAAUUAAGGCUGCAGCCCGCUGGGAGCUGCAGCUGCGACGAAGCGGAGAGGAGGUGGGGUGCUGGCCUGAUGGGAGAGGACGUUGGGAGCGGCAGUCGAGCGGCAAGAUGGGGACGGCGCGUGGCUGUCGAGCGGCGAGAUGGGAGCGGCGGGCGCCGGCAGCGAUGGGAGGUGGCGGACUCCGGCGGCGGGGGCGACAAAACGGUGGUGGCGUGGCGGAACGGCCAGCAGGCGGCGGAACGGGAGGCCAGCAGAUCGGGAUUGAGGGGGAGGGACGAGGGAUGAGAUCGACGAAGAAGAAAGACACGGGAGCCUGCAGCCGAAAAAAGGCCGAUCUGGGCGUAUCCCGCGUCCUGGCGCGCAAGGCUAUUUUUGCAGCUCGGCUGCAGGCUUCGCGCGCGGCCCAGGAGACCAAACAGGCUGAUAUUUGCAUUGUGGGUGCAGGCCAAGUGCGGGGCACCCUUCCAAACACGCCCUAACUGAAUCUCCUUCCAAUCUGAAUGGAGCCGACGGGGGUGGAGGGAGUAGCCGGUGGCCGCAGGGGAAACUUGAGGGCCGCGGUACGGGGUAGGUUUAUCCUGCCGCCUGCCGGAGUGGCUGCGCGGGCGUCGGAGUGGGAGCGGAGGGGCCUGCCGGAGUCCUUUCUGGCUGCCGCGGCGGUGGCCGUCGUCCAUUCCUGCAACCGUGGCGGUGGCCGGCGUCCUUUCUCCAUGACCGCGCUCCUGCCUGCAACCAACUGUUUCCCUUCCUGUCCCACUCUUGUUGGCCUGUGAGUGUUGUGCGCCGUCCGAUCAAAAUGGAUGGUGGAUAUGUAGGGACAGGACACGCCGUGCCUUUGCUCUGUCAGGGCACUGGAUCCGGAUCCAAGACGCACAUACCUCCCUUCCCCAACAAGGGAAGGAGAACGGAGGCAGGCGAUGCUAACGGCACGUGUCCAUGCACGGAGGUCGUGGAGUUUUCUUGAGAACGGGAGAGACGAAGCGGUAUCCUCCCAUCAAAACCAGAUUUGACCGAGCUAAACAACCAACAAAAGUUGAUCUCAUGAUUUUGGUAGUUGUAGGGUGAAGUUUACACUAAAAACCUAACGAACAAAUAAACAUAGGCUCUUGAUGUAUUCCGUACUUAAUACUCUGAGGAAAUGAGGUGAGAUUUGACCCGUGACAUUAACAACAAUCAUCUUUCACACAACACUAACAACAACCAUCUUUCAGCAAACUAGGUGUGUUGAUUGUUCCAAUAAGACGAGAUUUGGCACAUCUCCGGUCUUAUAGUAAUUCUUGAUUUCGAAUGGUUGGAAGGUCAAGCAUAUAGCACCACAUUAACGCCCAUUUCUAUUAUUUGAACCAAGUGUAUAUUGAUUCGGCUAAUACCGAUACAUAUCACACAACUACGCUCUUGAUUUACAUUUUUUUUCAAUAUUCUAGAGGAUGAAAGAGUUGCCUUGAUCAUCAACACUCAAGACCUUAGACAUGUGCAUACCAAGCAAGGGCCUUCACAGUGUGUGCCAAAUUGAGAUGCCAAAUUGGAAAUUUAGCUUUUGGCACCACUUCAUGCCACUGUGGAAGGGUUGCAAAUUAAGAAAAGAUGGAACCAGAUCACCUAAUUGCUCCCGGUGUCAAAUUCUUCCAAACAAUAUAAAACAAUAUCCAUGCAUGCAUCUCCUUCCCUGUUGGCUCAAAGUAGAUGAGUGAGGAGAGAAAGUACAUUUUAUAUAUGUGUUUUAACAUUGGUGGGUCUCAUACAUUGAAAAUUUUGGCUUUAACUACACUGUGUCUAAAUGAUACUUUUAGCAUCGCUCCUAAAUAAUAUGAGAUGACAAAUUUAGCAUUUGGGACGUUGUGGAGGCCUAAAGUCUCAAAUCUUCCGGAAAAAGUAUACUCCGUUUCCGUUUCCUAGCGUCCCUGGCAAGAGCCCAUGUCUCUAGUCCAGUGUUCAGUCAAGCAGAAUAAAUACGGCCGGAUACGAACAAAUAAAAAACUCGUAGGCACAUCAGUUUGGGUUUCCUAGCACCCCUGCCAAGAGCCCAGGACGUCUCACCAAGUGACCAAGGAAGGCGCAGCAAACAACUGUCCUGGGGUCAAAACAAAAAUGCCUGGUCAAAGGCGUCGCGUCAUGCCUCAGCCGGUCAAAGAACACGUACUCGAGUUGCGUGCGCCUACAUCACGGCCAUUUAUGGAGUUUGCUCCAAAGUCUAUCGGGAAUUUACUCAUGGAUUUGACGAAGAUGGCACAUCGUACGCAGAUACGGAACCAUCUUAUAAACACGGCUAAAACAUGAGCAGGGAUCAGGAUCGAUGACGUACUACACGUCUGAACUUAACGCAGGGAGACCAGCACGCAAUAUUUGGAAAGCGGAGAACUUCCCGGCCCGUUUAAUCCCGGACGGACGUGCAUGAUCGUUCAAUCACACAGUGUGGAUAGAUGUAUUCCUAUCAAUAUAAGCUAUAGUCGUGUGAGGAAGAAAUUCGACAUGGAGAUGGAGACGCCGCCUCCGCAGUUCGUGUGCCCCAUCUCGCUGACGCGGAUGCAGGACCCGGUCACGGCGCCGAGCGGCAUCACCUACGACCGCGGCGCCAUCGAGCGGUGGCUGGCCGCGGGGCACGACACCUGCCCCGUCACCGGCCGCGGCCCGCUCUCCCUCGCCGACCUCACCCCCAACCUCACCCUCCGCCGCCUCAUCCUCUCCUGGCCCAACCCCAACUCCAACCGCCAUCCUCCCGCGCUGACCACGCCGGAUCAGCCGGACUCGCGAAACGACGAGUGUGGUGGUCCGGCGGAGCUCGUAAAGAAGCUGAUGGUGGCCGUCCCGGCGGCGAAGGCGGACGCCAUGGCGCGGCGAAGCAUGAUCCCGCGCGUGCUCCCUCUGUUCGUGUCGUCGUGCGCCACCGAGGCCGCCGAGAAGAAGAAGAGCUUCUCGCCGAGCGGGGUCGAGGCGGCGUGCCUGGCUCUCCUCGACGCUCUCGGCGUCUCCGCCGACGAGAUCCGGCCGCAUCUCCUCCCCGCGGAACCCGGCUUCCUCGACGCGCUCACGCACGUGCUGGUCACGCUCACGCUCGAACUACAACACGAGGACUACUACUCCGAACCAACUCUCCAGCGCGCGGUGCGCCUGCUGGAGUCGGCGACGGAGGCGUCGACCCCGGCGCUCCUCGACCGUCUCCGGCCCGACCUCCUCCGCGCCCUCACAGCCGUCCUCCACGCCCGCCGCCGCGUGCCCCUUGCCACGACGCGGGCGGCGCUCAAAACGAUCCUCAACGCGUGCGCCGCAAGCAGCAGGAACCUCCGUCUCGCCGCGGAGUCCGGCGUCGCGCACGAGGCCAUCGAGCUCGAGCUCUCCCUCGGCGGCACCAGCCGCGCGACGACGGAGCUGGUGAUGGCGGUGCUGUCCUUACUGUGCAGCGGGUCCGCGGAGGCGCGGGCGACGGUGGCGGGCCACGCGGCGGGGAUCGCGGUGGUGGCGAAGAGGGUCCUUCUGCGGGGGGGCUCGUCUGCGGCCGGGGACGCCGCCGCGGUGCGCGUGCUGGCGAGCGUGUGCGGCAGGGGCGCGUCGCCGGAGACGGUGCGGGAGAUGGCGCGGGUCGGGGCCGUGGGGAAGCUCUGCUGCGUGCUCCAGGCGGAGUGCGACCAGGUCACCAAGGAGGCGGCGAGGCGCGUGCUGAGGAUGCACGCCGGGGACUGGGCCGGGUCCCCGUGCGUCAGCGCUUACCUGCUCUCUAGGUACCUCUAGCUAGUUCAGACUUAAUUUAGCCGGUCGACUCGGGCAUUGCUUGCUGCAUGGUGCAGCAUGUUCGUUAAUUGGUUGCAACAAUGUUGCAGGUUGAAUAUUCUUUAUCGGUCUCUUGAAAACAUUUUAGCUAGCCCGAUCGUGAGUUGGAUUUGUUCUUUGAUAAGUUUCGUGCAUGCUGAUUUGUACAUGCAAAUCAAGUUGGAACUAGGAAAAUAAACAUGUUUAGCCUUGAUUAUUACUGCCACUUAGAUUAUUUGCGCACUUUGAUAAGUUCCAUGCUGAUUUGUACGUGCAAACCAAGUUGGGAUUACCCCGAAAAAACAAGUUGGAAGACGGAAAAUUUAUGUCCCAAAGUAUCAUGGUUCAGAACAUACUCGAUGGCCCGAUCCCGAUCGAUCACGAAGACGGAAGGAAUACGAAUCGUUCAUGCAUGCAUGCUCCACGUGGUGUGAAGGGUACAAGUCAGCAAUGUCUGGCUGAGCUACUCCAGAUGGGUACUUCAACAUCGUGAGGUAUACUACUCCCUACGUCUAAUAAAAAAUGUGUCAAGUUUGUUAUAAUUUGGAUGUAUCUAGACAUGAUUUAGUAUGUGAAAAUAUCUAGUGAAAACCUGAAAACUAUCGUUGUGAGCCGUUGGAUACAAAAUGUAUGGCUCAGAUCUAAGGUGUGAUUGAAACCAGCCACUUAAACGUACAUUUGCGCAAAGCCCCCUGCCUUUACAGGCUUUUACGUAGAACUAGGUGAGAGUUAUCCUCAAGCCAGCCAAUUCCCCAUCCCCCAUCUGAAUCCCCUUCGGCGCAGCGACCUGGAGAAUUCAGCGAUGGCCGACGGCGACCACCUGCACAGACCUUCCCCACGCGAAGACGAUCACCUGUGGAUCCCUUCCCAUGACGGCGACCAGAGGCCUCGGCAGCGUCACGGAGGGUGAAGCUGACCUGCAGUCUGCUUGCUGUUUUCUGAAAACAUGUGUUUGCUGAACAUGUGUAUGCUGAAGCGCUAGAGCUGUUGUUUUGCUCUACAGGAAAUUUGUGCUUUGUUCUGCAAUGCAUCAAUUUUUUUGUACUGAUUUGUAAGAGGAAUUUGUAAUUGCAGAUUGGUUUAGCCAAAUCAAUGAGACUGUACAAAGAAUUCUUGAAUGAAUGUGAAUGUACAGAAAAUAUCUGUUGUUUAUCCGAAUCAAUGUGACAUAAGCUCUUGGACAUGUUGGAGCUUCCUUCCUCGCUGCAAUCAGGGAGUUUGGAAAAUCAAAUCAGAUCCAAGCAAAUAAAAAAAUAGCCAUUGCACUGAUCAAUUUGAAUCAAUGAACAAGAAGAGAAACCAACAAAGAAUCCCAAUGCUUGCUCCGUAGGAGGUCCAAUGCUCCCGCAUGUGGAAGACGCUGGAUGGCAGGGGAUGACGACGGCAGGCCGACGAGCGCUUCCGAAGGUGGCCGGCGAAGGGACAGUGCAGGUCGCGUACGAGGCCGACGGAAGGUGGAGGAUCAAGACCGGCGUCCGGCGAACGCACAGUACGCCUAAACUUGGAUGGGGGAGGGCGGGGAAUCACGAGCGUUGGAUGCACGCCUCGGACGAGAAUGAUGGGGGGCGUGGAGGAAGGCGCAACGUGGUGGGGGCUGUGUGCAGCGGAAGGCCAACGCCGGCAACCGGAGGCGCAACGUGGUGGGGGUUGUGUGCGGCGGAGGGCCAGCGCUGGCUCCAUGUCAAUCUCACGAUUGAUCGGAAUUGAGAAGACAAAUAGUUUUCCAGUGGACUAAUCGUUAACGAGUUUUUACAAAAAAGAAGGGGGGUUUGCGCAAAUGCACGUUUAAGUGGUUAGUUGCAAUCCGACCUUUGAUCUGAGCCAUACAUUCUCGAUCCAACGACUCACAUCGAUAGUUUGUAGGUUUGCACCAGAUGAAGGUUUUCACUGGAUAUUUCCCCAUUUAGUAUAUCGAUGCAAUCAAAUUUAGUCAAAAUUGAGACAUCAUUUGUUAGACGGAGGAAUAUAUGAUGAAGGAUUGCAGGGUCACCGUUCAACGUUUUAAAUUGCAUGGAAGGAUUUUGCAGAUAGGGGCAUGUGUAGGGCACGUCGGCUUCCUGGGUGCACGCUUAUUCGGUUUGGAGGAAACUAAAACAUAGGAAAAGCAAAAAAACAUAUGAUUCUGAUAGGACGCCAUUUGCCAUUCUAAUGAAUUGUCCUAGUCCAAUCAACGGUCAGCUGACUCACGAGUUCCAUGUUUACCAUGUCUCAAAACAGUCUAUUGUCUACAAGGAAAUGAGAAAAGUUAAAAAAAAACAAGUAUUCCCUCCUAUUUGAAUUAAUUAUUGCAACUUUUACUAGAUACACAUGUACCUAGACUGAAACGCAUCUGGAUAACGUAUCCAGACAGAGCUGUGUCCAUUGACUUGAAAACCUAGAAACAAAAAAAGGAAACCGAGGUAUUUCAAAAUAAACUCAAUUUUUUUUGUGGUGAAUUACAUUCCAAUUUAAGCCGUUGUUUUUGUUAACUAGCUGAAAUGCCCGUGCGUUGCAACGGAACAACAAAAUAAAAUUAGACACUCGAAGAAAAUUUCUCUUUGCUUUUCUUUGACAACCACCAAACAUCCUUUUUAAAAAGGUUUUUCGAAUAUUUUGUCUAUAUACUAUGAUCUCUUAGAAGACAACAGUAACUUACGUUCUGAAAUUUAUGUAAUCUUAUAAAAUUCUCCAUAAACUAUCUAGAAAAAAAUCAUGAAAUCCUAAACUGAGGCCCCGUUGCGUCGCUCCGCUGAUAUUUUCAGCAAUUUUUACAUGUUUGAACAGAUAGUUUUUCGCCCAUGUGUUACUAUAUCAAUAAACCACAACACAUGUUUAACAUUGCCCUAAUGGCCUCUAGAUUAUCUCCAAUCUUAACAUCUAGUAAUGAACAACCUAAUUUUUUCCCUUGAGGAGCACAUAUACAAGCAGCAGCGAUGGUUGCUAGUCAAGUCAUCAGCCAAAUGAUUCCCCCAAAAGGAAGUCUGCAUCCCAAAUUGUACGAAGGAACAAUCAUCAUAUCUUAACAAGGCUAAUAGCAGCGAGAGAAAAAAAAAUGGUACAGAGUUCUCUCCCGAGCUUUAUUGUCAUUUUUCCUGAAUUUUGUCAAAUAUCACUGAAUUCGAAAUCUGAAGAUCCCGUAGCAACAUUCCUCCACAAAUAGCAGGUACGAAUUCAAGCAUUCAACAAAAGCAGUAGGACACACAUCUUUUCCACAUCCAACACCUGGAAUCUUAAGCUCGAGAUCCUGAACCCACAACCGUCAUAUGUCCAACAGUAAACACAUCACUUAGGUUUAUCCUAAUACUCUCUCCAUCUUCCAGACCCCCACAUGACCCAACCAGACAAUCACACACUGAGCAAAUAAAUCCAGCUCCAAUUAGGCAACCAGUUCAAGUUCCAGUUCCCCAGAAAUUUCACUGUACCAAUGCUAAUCAAUCAAUGAUUAUUUCCGAGUAGUACGUAGUACUAAAAACCGAGCAAGAGCUGAACUCCGCACGGACAAAACACCCUAUUGCAUGACGCAAUCGCCAUCUGAGAAACCAAGCCAGACCUCAUGCAAGGAGCACAAAACCGCCCCCCAACCAGCUAACAGCGACAGGAAAAACGGUUGGAAUCUCUACUGGGAGGAAACAAACCAACCAACCACAAACAAACCACUGACCUGUAGACCGGAUCAGCGUCUCCCUCGGAGGCGGCGGCGGCGGCGGCCACGAAGCCGAGAAGUGGUAGAAUCGGCAACAACCCUCUCCAGCAGUGCCCAAUCCCGUCCGCCCGCGCUUCCAGAAGUAAACUCUAGCAGCACCUAUCGGAAGAGUAGGGGCAGCAGCGGGAGGAAGAGAUCCAUCCAACGCAGAGGAGAGGAGGUGCACUGCUGCGAGGGGAAACUCGAAGGCCACUGGGAUCGGAUUGAAUCGAUUGGUUGACGCGGCGAAGGAGGAAGGUUGAUUAUAGAGCAGAUUUGUUUUGUGCUCUCCGGCUCCUCCGUGUUUGGGGGCAGCAACCCCAAAGAAAGGAACAAACCUUUAUGCCCUGCGGUGGAGGAGAUUUUGUGGGCAACGGCGGCGGCGAACUCAAUUGCACGGUGGUGGUGGAGGCGAGUCGGCUCCGUGGCUGCGUGUUCCUUCGUGAAUAAGAAAGAUAGGGAGCAACGGGCACGGAGCCCCAGCGCCCCAGCCUGCUCCGUCCGCACCCCCCGGCGACCUCCUUUCUCACCCUCGCUGAUCUCUCCCCUCCCUGCUCGUUGCUACUUCUUGGCCGACGACUGCAACAAAGGGCGCCUAGAGGAUCCGUGGCGGGCCAGCCGCGUGAGAGGAGGGGGCGGAGCGUGCUGGGUUGGUUGGAGGAGGGGAGGCGUUGUGAGGGGAGACCAGCCAGGUCAUGAAUUUGGGGAAGGGUGAGGACUGAGGAGGUGGCCUCUUCUUUCCUCCUCGUGAGAAGGGAGGCAGCGGGGGGAAUUAAGGAGGCAUCGGUGCGGGACUGAGGAGGUGGCCUCUUCUUUUCUGCUCGCGAGAAGGAAGGUAGCGAGGGAAGGAGGCGUAGGUGCCGUUGGGGGCGAAGGGAGAGGUAGGUGAGGGACGGCAGCAGGAGGAGCGGAGCGCAGUGGUCGGGCGGAGUUUGAAGAACAAGAAAGCGCAUGUGACGAACGACGAAACCGCGUGGUGAAGGGAACGGUCCGUAUUUUUUAGAUAGGUAUAGAUAUAGAUUAUUUGUAACUUUUCUGUUGUUCCCUGUUUGUAGAAUAGUUCUUGUUUAUUUUUGCCUCCCGGAGACACAUCUUUUCCCCAAUAUGUUUUGGAAUAUUUUACUUGAAUGUUAACUUUCUUUGAAAAAGAUUUUUUUUUGAGAAAAAGUCUAUUAUUUUCUCAAUUUCCUUUUCCUUAGUUUUCUGACUAGGUUGCCACGUGUGUAAUACCACAUUCAUUUCCACAGAAAGGAAUGAAUUGAAUUACUAAACGUAUCAGUUACUAAAUUGAUGAUCAAGCUUAUUUUUAUUAGAUCUUAUGUAUGAGCCAAAACUGAACCAACUAUAGUUUUGUUUUAGAAUCACCUGUAAUUUUAUUCUGAUUCAACAUCCAUUACAAGUACAAUGAUUUGGAUAAAAACCCAAAAAACUACAAAGUGACUCUUAUAACUAAAAAUCACAUUAAAGUCUUUCAAAUAAAUCUUCUUCAUGGAAUCAUUGUAUCAAUUUUCGCAGCACGAAGCACUUCCAAGGCUUCGGUAAAGAUACCGCAAUCAGACUGGAGCAACGACGCCGCUACUCGAACACAACUUGACUACGUUUGUAGGUUUGAACAAACUAUAGUUCUUUAUUAACACUGGAGUCACAAGAACUUGUAUUGUGCGAGCAGUUUAGUACAAGUUGCAAAACAGGGUCAGGUGGUGCAAUAACGUGACUUGCAGGUACACGUGUUUUUGGAAUAAGCGAAACUGCUCGAGGGGGGGAGGGGGCUUGGCGUAAAAUGUUCAACUCAACCGGCAAGCCACAUGUCGCCUCCGAUCCCCAUUGGUUAUGACCAAACGUGUACCCUCAAGUCAAGUUAUUGUACUAUUUAGUCCCGUUUUGCAACUUGUUGUACUAAACUGCUCGCGCAAUACAUUUUCUUGUAACUCACGUUUUACUACCUAUUGCUCCAAAUAGGAAAAAAAAAUGAUUAGGCCAUCGGCACUGCAUAGUCUAAUCCACGGCAAAGCCAAAUGCAACCAUAAUCCAUUGAAUAAACUUUUUUUGCUAAUCUAAUCCAUUGAAUAAACUAUGCACUAUUUUUUCAGACCAAGGACAUACAACUGAUUUUCGAUUUAUAGAGUGCUUUUUUCUUUGCCAUACUGGUGACUGGCAAGGCAUGCGGGCAAGUCGAUGAUCUAUUAGAUCGAGCGUUAGUAGACUACAAUAGUUGUCGAACAUGCUUAGUGCUAGUUUAUUACUCUCUCUCUGAUUCUAAUAAAUUUGUCCAAAUAUGAAUGUAUCAAUUUUUAAAAAGUAUCUAGAUACAUGUAAUAUUUCGACAAUAAUUUAAGAUCGGAGCGAGCAGUCUGGUUCAAAUUUGACUUAACCAGUCGAGCGGUCGGCAUGCGUGUGUGAACUGAAAAAGAAAAGAGACACGCUGCAGAAUCGAAGUUGUAUAUAACUAUUGCUCAGAGGAAUUGACUCGAGACUACUGAAUGUCUGAAUCAUCAUCUUCAGUCCAAACGUUCAGACGGCCAAGACCCACGGGUAACUUGCUACAGCUGAUUAGUUAUUGGGCCUAUAAGUCGGAUAUAAAUUCCUGAAGUAUUCCGUGGACACGUUCCCUCAGAAAAACAGGACUUCAUCGGGAAAAUGAAAAGAGAAUUGACCAGAUCGUCGCCACGACGUUUUUCUUGGCAGUCUUUCAUCCGAAAUUGCAGCACCAAAAGUAGUGCAUUGUAAACCGGAUACGUUACCAUGUCACGGAUUAGCAUCAGUGCCCACGCGUGCUUUGGGUCAACAAAAUGAUAAAUUAUUUAUUUUUAUUUUUUGUGUAGGCAACUCAUGGCGCCGUCGAGAUUGGCAUGCGAGUGUGGGGCAUCAGUUAAGACGAAGUAGAAGAAAUCGUGAAAAAAAUUGGAGGAAAAAAAUAACAGGCAAUGGCAUAUUGAUUAUAAUUUUAAUGAAGUUUAACAUACGGUGACGACCAUAACAUUGCCACCAACUCCAAUUUAAUAUAUUGGUAUAGAUAAGACUUUUGGAGACAACUAGAACUAGAGACAAACUGGUAAUUAGCAUAGCAGUGGAGCAUACUGCAAGAAAAACAUCAAGUACUUAACAGAACUUGUUGGCUAAAAAAGGUUCCACUGAACUGCGACAAGUACACUAACAGGAACAUAGCACCACCUAGCCUCUACUUAACUGGAAGAACACUUCACUACCUGUGGUGAUGCAAGAACCUGAACAGGCUUCUUUCAAGCACGCACAGACGCUAGAAGAUCUACCAAAGCUCAAGGUCAGACUCCAGUUACUUCCCAACAUAGCUGCUGGUCUGCUGCCACUACGACACAUCACAUCGGAAUGAGCUCAGCGGCACCUUGGCACCAUCACUUUGCUGUUGCCUGGCCAAGACCAGAACCUAUUAUCUCCCCUCGCAUUGCAAUCACCAAGGCACCUUCACUUCGCAUCUCUUUGAUGAGUUGCUCGAGUCGUGGCGUCUGUCCAGAGAUGAAACCAAAGAGUGCUCCUGUGGGAACACCAAAGGAUGAAAUGAUCUGCCCAUUGUUUGCAGGCACUGCGGUAGGCAUGGUAGGAGUUGGUGCAGAGCGGGCUGCGCCUUCAGCAGGUCUUGGUGCGUUGGGUCGAGCAGUUGAGGGAGUCUGUUCCUUUUCUUUAACUUGCCUCUCAGCUUCUUCAGGAGCUUCAAGUCCAACGCGCAUGUUUAACCCUGUCACCUGGUGACCAUCUAUCCUCGGUGAGGCAUGCUUCUCUUCCUCCCGUGCACAAGAGCCUAUGCGAUGUUGUUCUUCAUGCAGUGUGGGUGUGGCAACCUUAGCUUCGAUGCGCUUGAAUACCGCCCAGAGGUAGUGUUUCCCUUUGAAGGCUGCAAGGGAAAAGACAACAUGGUAACACUUGCCAUGAAUGUUACAAUGAAAAGAAAACUCUUAGUUACUGCUUUAGGAGAAACUGAAUUAUCUGUAUACAAUAAUUACUAUGCCAGGUUAUAUUUGAAAAGCAAUGCCGCUAGACUGAGGUACAGAAAUCAGGCGCAUCAUCAUUUUGUUUCUAUAGAAGCAAUUCCAAGAAAGAGCAGAAUGCUUACUUUGGUGUCGUUCAGGCAGUAGAACAGAAGGAAAUAUCAGCAUCUCAGCUUCACCAACAACAGCUCGUAAGACCAUAUCAUUCUCGAUAACUUCUUGAACUAGUUGGUCCAAGUGUGCAUCUUGCCUAGGGAAACUAGCAUGUUUAGAUUCCAAACUGAGCAGACGAUAAAAUGAUGCAAAUUAAUGUCGAACAGUAAGCGAGAUACCUCAAUUCUUGGGGCAAGAAAUACAAGGCGAUGUUAUCAUCAGUGGGCCUUGAUGUCUCAAAGCUUUUUGGCCAAGCCUCCAACCGAGAAAGCUUCGUCACUUCAACCUUAGGCUGCAAUGAUCUUGAAAUUUUCCACACCUUCUCACAGUGUUUUACUGACAAAUGUGCAGCCAAAGGCACAUAUUCCUUAUUGUCUGUCUUAAAGACACCACUGUUGAAUAAACAACAAAAAGUUUAGCAUUCAGAGAGUACUGAGUAAACUUCAAAAAAUGGAAAUGAAGGCAUAUUUCUACCUCCAUAUGGGUUCAUCAAUUGGCAGGUCACUAUGCUGUUGCACCUUGAUAGAUUCGGAAACUAAUGGAUUCAAGACCUUGGUACUCUUCACUAAAGCAGUUUGUGUGAUCAAUGCACCAGUUCCACCUUCAACACCCACAAGAUUUUGAUCAUCGUCAUCGUCAUCUUCAUAUUUGUAUAUUCUCCUUCUCUUCACCAGUUUACAAUUCUCAACUUUUUCACUAUCAUGGUCCUCAUGUGGUUUGGUCCUCUUCAUCGGUGUCUCAAGCUUCUCUUCCAACAAUGGAUCAGUCCUCUUUCUCUUAAACUCGUCAUCAUUCAGCCCAUGGUCUAAUGUUGCAUUCAGCUCCAUGUUAUUGCCCAUGGAUGAUGCCUCCAUCAUCGGGUCAGCACACAAUUCCUUGCCAAUUUUAGGGAAAGAAUUACCUCCCAAGUUGCACCGGUGGUUUUGUAUGACUUGAUUUUCUUUCUGAACAUGAACGCUCGCCAUUUGCUCGGCAUUGCGUGAGUUAUGAACCAUUGAAGAGGGAUGCACUUUUUUUGAAAUAUGAGAUUCGGAAUCUGGGUCAACCUUCGACCCUAUGAAACCAAGCUUUUCCAACUUUCCUGAGGAAAAUCCACCCGGAAGCCGAGAUGUCCUAGGCUUAUCAUUAUCCCUCGGUUGAGGAACCAUGCCAUUGUUUAGCCUUAGGACAGACGAUCUAGGCACCUCGUUAUCCUUUGGCAUGGGCAUUCUUUCAGUACCCAGGCUCGAGGAAGAGGGCUUAGGAUUCUCAGUAUUCUUGGGUGAAGAAGUUUGAGCUUUGUUUAACCUCGAGGAUAACUCCGUAUUCUUUUGCAAAGAAACCAGACGAUUGUUCAACCCUCGAAAAGAGGGCUUAGGGUUUUCGAAGUUAUUCGAUGGACAGGCUCUGACAUUGUCUAAUCUAGGCUUCUCAAUGUGACUUUGUCUGGGUCUAGACUUCUUUAUAUUCUUCUGCGAACAAACCGUACCUUUGUUUGACAUCAAACCCGAGGGCAACGGUCGCCGUGCCUGCACUACUACUCUAGAGUUAUUUGGGAACGACACCCUCCUGAAGAAAUCUUUGGUUUUCUUCGUCUCGUUGACACACCUUUUCCACAUUAUAGUCUUCUCUCUGGAUGGCUUGCGCGACCUUGGACCAAAGGUACGACCAUAAUUCUGUCUUCGGUUUCCCAUCUUGGGAUACGACUCAAUUUAUUGAGACAAGUAACAAAUUACGAGUGCCAACAAACACUAUCGCAUCCAAGACGUAUCUACAUAAAACACAAGCACAAUCACUAUAAAAGAAAACAUGUUUAAUAAGUUACUAAUAUGCAACUUUGCAGUUGCACAAUGUAAUUGUUCAAUAACUUUUACCACAAAACGAAAACAAUAAACAUAGAAAUAAUUUAACAAAUAAUAGCUUUCCUAAAGCAAAAAAAUAUAGAAAUGUUUGGAAGGAGUUCCAAAAGACAAUGGAUGAUAUUGUAAAAUGAAUGUAGACAACAUCAUGCAUGGAAAAUUAUAGAACCAUAAAGUUGGUAAGAGAUACUAAAACCUUUUCACAAAGAAUAGCGCUAACACAUUUCGAGUUUUAACUUUAACCAUCAAUAAGACGAAUAAUAUGUAGAUAACGUGUCAUAAAUAUAAUAACAUUGGAAACUUUUUUCGAAUGACUUACACCGUGAUGACUAAUCGUAGUCAAAUUAAGUAUGCGACCAAGUGUGGAGAAAAUUCCACCAAUAAUUGAGUCUAACUAAUAAUGUAACCAGAUAGACCAUAGAUCUUCUACCAAUUGUUUUGAUCUAAGCAAGUUUGAUGUUAGUGCUAGAGUAUGUUGUCAAGUGAGCUUCACUACAUGCUUACAAACAUGAUUAUUUAUGGUCAAACGUCAUUUAUGCAAAAUUAGACUUCACAACUACAAUAAAUUGUCUACAAAAAAUACACACCAUAUUUCAUGUCAUAGAAAUAAAAACAUUAACAUUAUUAGAAAGGACGACUUUUUCGUACUACCGGGUGUAGUUACUCCCACGUACGUUUCACACAUAUUUGGGAGAAUAUAGCGCAAUCGGGAGAAUGUAGAAUGUGUAUAUGGGUAGUAUGCAGUAUGUAGAAUAUAAAAUAUAUUCAACUUUUUAGGUAGAAUAUGCAAUUUUUAGCAUACUCUAUUGUAUAUACAAAUAUGAAGACAUUUCUACAACAUAGUAAAAACUACGUGCCAACUUGCAAUUUUUUCAUGUAGCUCGCUUUGAAGUAUCUUAUAUAUAGUAUCUGAAUUUAUUAAAAGUGAUAAAAUAUAAUAUAUUGUAUCAUAUGGUAGAAUAUUCAACAUGGGAGUAACUACACCCGGGAGUAGAUGACUUUUUCAUACUACCGGGUGUAGUUCCCACGUACGUUUCACACAAAUUUGAGAGAAUAUAGCGCAAUCGGGAGAUUGUAAAAUGUAGUUUCUUAGUAUUGAACAUAAAUUUGUUCCCCAAUUGACCAUAUACCAUUCCAUGAAUUUCCACCAAUUUUAAUACAUCAAAUCACAAAACAUGUUUCCUUUAUAUAAAGGCACUAACCUCAAACCUCACGUAGACUGUGAUUCAAAAUGUGAUUUAAUAAGAGAAGAGCAUAAAAUUUGAAAACUAAGAACCCUCUAGAAGCCGUUCUAAUUGGUAUGAUAAGUGUGUUGUACAAAUGCAAUGAAAAUAACAUUAUAUUUGUAUAAAAAUAAUAUUUAAAACCAAAUUAUUUUGACUUGAUUUCCCCACACACUUGGUCACGCAAAGAUUUCAUCUAACACAUACAACUUGACAAAGACUAAUAGAAAAAGAACAAAGAAUAGUGGUAUGAGAGGCAUAACAUCGAGCAUGGUUGAAAAUAGGAGAUCUAGCAAAAAAACAAAUACUAGUAGGAUGAAUAACACAAUUAAAACAGAUAUAGGUUAAACCAAGUAUACUAGGCAUAACAAGCAUAUAGUUCUUGUAGAGUAAAUAAUUGUAUUUUGGUUGAGUUACUUUUGUAAGAAGGAAAAGGAUAACAACUACAUUUUCCCUCUCCUGGUCAUGGUCAACUUUAGAUCUAGCGGCGGCUAUGUAACAAUUACUUGUCUGUACCUUGGCAUUAUUCUUUUGAACAGAUGGCCCCACGAUCCAAAGUAAAGAUGCACCUCCUUGGCCCUAGGCUUUCAAACAGAUGGCUCCUCAAACCAAAAGUAGAAAAUGCACCUCUGCACUAUCUUUUAAACAGAUAGCACCACAAUGCUUAGGGAGACCGAACAAACACAGCAUAAUUUUGCUGUCAGCAUAUCCCGAGGCGGUAAGGCCUGGGACUCUGGCACCAGCAAGAAUAAGUGUGUUAGUGUCAACCAUGAGAGCACUUGGGAGGCAAGGCCAUCUGUAAAACUUGAAUCAGAAAGCCAUCUGUUCCGCCUGUCCGGUCCAAUCUAACCAGUCAAGCUACUGCCCAUCUACACCAGCUUGAAUGCUUGAUCUCAUGGCAGCAGUUGACGGUGUUCACGGGGACAUGAAAGGCAGGAGCACCCAACCUAAGGUCCGAAAUCAAUCCUUCCCGAACCCUAAACUAAAGUAGGACUAAAUCAACUACUCCUCCGAUCCAUAUUAUAUGUCCCAAAUUUGCUCAAAUAUGGAUGUAUCUACGCCUAAAAGGCGUCUAGAUAGAUGUAAUAUUUCGACAAUUAAUAUGGAUCGGAAGGAGUAACAAAUCCAGUCAACGAUGCAUUAGGCCAAUCAAAACAGAGCAUUAGCACACGCAAGAACAUCCACGGUCAAUCAUGCAUUGGACAAAUCGAAACGGAGCAUUAGCACACAAGCAAGCACAUAUAUCGGCAAAAGGAACGCGGAUGCAUGGGAUAGGAUGCAAAAGAAUAUGUAACAUAGGAGUAAAGGCGCAAACCUCUCACGGCCUGCUACUCUGCUCUGGCGAUGAACAAACCGGGACGGAGGUCUCGCGCUAGAUCGGAACGGCGGCCUACAGAUCGAGAAUUAAUCCACGUUGUGCCUCGGAAGAAACACGAACGAACUCGCCGGCUCUUGUCGUCGAGCGCGGCGCCGCUAAGGCGAACUACGAGAGCGCUGCUGGGCAAACCCCAGGAUAGAGCAGCAGAGGAGCAAGACGAUAGAUGGGCAACAGAAACGGAAGAGCUAGCUCCUCCCGCGAUGAAGCCCUGGCCGUUUUAUUUAUAGACGGUAACGCGCCAGGGUCGUGGGCGUGGCGCAUCGGGAGACCGGAGUCGUGAAGAAGAAGGAAGGAAACCGAUCGGCGGAGGAAACGGAAACCGCAAAGGAUAUAUCUCUUCGUGUCGAUCUUUUUCCGAUUCCCAGAGCGGAUUCCGGACGGAGAUCGUGCUGGCCGUUUGGUUUCGCGUUAAAUGCCUCGCGAUAUUAUUGCCGGGGGAGGGCAGCGGGUUGCACGGGGCGGGGGCGCACGACACGUUUUGUAGCUGCAUGUCUGCGGCGCCUGCGUCCGGGGUCUGCACGUCCCCCCUGCUGCAUUUGCUAUCCUCGUCUGUUACCACCAGUGUACUCCUCCCAUUUAUAUAAAUUGUCCCAAAUUUGAUCAAAUAUUAAUGUAUUUAUGUCUAUAAAUACGUCUGGAUACAUGUAAUAUUUCGAUAAUUAAUAUGCACCAGAGGGAGUAUUAGCGUAUCCGAUAAAACCAUUUUUAUGAGGCAAAUUUUAGUAAAUUAAAUAAUAAAAAAAUAUGGGUAAAAUUUCAAGUCCAAACACAACUGUGUUAAGUAGCUGCAAAAAAAAUCAGUAUGAAUAUUGGUACUUCACUACUCACUCCUUCCCAAUUUAAAUGAUGUUUUAGAUAAAUAUCGAAUACCAAGGCAGCAGCUGAAAAGAUCUCUUAAGGUCUUCUCCAACGUAGUAUUCCAACCGGUCCAAACUUCACUUUUUGAUGCAUGCCGUUGGACCAAAGCUGGUACAUACAGCAAAAAGGAUGGAUCGAUCCAUGUAUAUGGACCGAUGCAAACAACCAACUGCAGAAUAAAAAAUUCCUCCAUGGCCUUGGUUUGGGGAUGGUAGGGGAAAGUAUCACAGGAAAGAAAGGAGUAAGUUUUAGGAUAGAGUUGUUUUAUCUCUCGCGUGGGUCCUACUUCCGAGUAUGAACCGGUGCAUGUACGUUGGAGAGAUGAUCCAGUUGAAGGAUCGGUCCCGGAAGAUGUUACGUGGCACAGGAAAAAUGAAGUAUGGUCCGGCUACAUUGUGGAAGGCCAAUGAGCUGAAUGCUGCGGCAGUUAAUUUUUUCCACCACAAAUAGCUACAUGGAGCAGUGUGCCCAACGCCUUUAGUGCGCAUGCCAGCGGCUGCAAUUUAUUUUCUUUUUAAUUUAUUUUAAAUGCAUUUGGUUGAAAUUUUACUCCUUUGUAGAACAUCACACCUCCAACAUCUGGUAUUCUUGUAAGAAUGUUUUGAAAUUUUUAAGCAUGAUUUUUAUGGAGUUUGCACUGUAAGAGUGGUUUUCACCGGAUACGCCACCAUUAAAUAUAUAUCGUAUAACCUUACGUAAUUUGAUCAUAUCUAAUGUCCAACCAAGAUAUCAUGAACAUAUACUCCAGUUUAUUCGCCACCGCUUGUCAUUUGACUAAUAUCAAUACUCCAUUUUAUUAGUAUUUCACAAUGGUAUUUUUGUUGCACUAGCUAAAUGCACGUGCGUUGCUACGAAAUUAAAAAUAUAUAUUACAUGUAUCAGUUAUUUUAAAAAAAUUAUGUGAUCGUGUUUUCUAAUUUGGCGCUAAAUAAGAGUUCUCAAAAUAUUCAUUUAAGGAAUCAUUAGCCCAAAAAUAUACAUCAAACCAAUCAAAAGAUCGUGAUACAUAAAUAAAUUUACUGCAUUGAAACAAUCCAGUGACAAUCAUCUAACAAGCUACGAAGAAGUCUUGGGAGGGUGAAUUGACGACCACCAACUCAGAUCUUUAUAUGUGUAAAGAUAAAGAAGUGUGGUCCGACUUUAAGAGGUUUGUUACGCUUACAAAUGAAGCACUUCAUUCUUCAAUAUUUUUAUUUAUUCAUUGCAUUACUCGUCCCUAUAAACAAGGUGUACAUUCUUUGAAAAAUUCUAUAAACAAUGCGCAUAACGUCUCAUUAAUUGCAUUGUCCUGGGGAGUCUAAUGGAGUAGCUCAUGUUCUUCCGAGUAGAGAGGGUCCUCGUUCUUUUUUUUGGCAGCAUGAUCCACCUGAUUUUAUCGUUGAUGUAUUCACAGAUGUAACUUUUUUGAUACUCACUUCGUCAACAAAUAAGUGAACGUUUGGAUUUAAAAUUUGUCUACAAAAGAGUGUAUGUCUCUUUUUUCAAAACACUUUAGACUAAACCUGGUCAUAGUGAGAGUAACAUACAUGCCUUGGGAAGUGUUAUGUUACCGGUUGAUACUAGUACUACCUCUCUCUUCAUUUAUUGAUUGCCACAUCACCCAAAUGCAUAGAUAGCAACGCAUGAUAUUAGGUACUGUAUGUUACUCCCAGUAUGAUCAGUCUAAGAAAAAAAAUGAUUCUCUCUCGUUACAUGGAAAUCAAACCAAAUAACAUUUAUGCAUGGAUUUAUCUCAUUGGAGGUGGAGAACUAAAAAAUAGAGACGGUGUAUGGUAAAUUUCCAAUACAUUUUCUAGCUGAAUGCUUAAUUUUAUUUUAAAACCCAAACGUACGCUCUUUCGCGGACCGAGUUCCAGGCCGUUCUCCAUUUUCACCGAAUUCCACUGUACCGGGCCGAUUUCCUAUACCAGGAGUAUUUAACAUCGGGCAUGAAGCGUUGAGUUUCAUGAACGGGCUGCGGUUUCCUUCUUUGACCAAUCAAAACGCAUGCGGUUAAGAAGGGGGAAGGAAAAUGCCAGCCUAAUCAAUUUAGGAAACCUAAACAAUUGCAUCUGCAUUUAAUCCGGGCCGCAAUUAACGCUAAUCAAGGACACGUUCGGACGCAUUCCUUUGCUGGUUUUCUUCCGUUGGAAUCAAUCUCCCGCAUUGAUCGCAGCCUUCGUUAAGGUGAAAAUGAAGAACGGCCAGUCAUACCGGAACAGAGAGAGUAUGCAAUAAAAUCCAUGAUGACUUUCCCUAUAAAACGUCUCAUUAGCUUUACCCAUAAAAAAAGGAAAACAAAAAACGUCUCAUUAGGCCUACAUGCAUCCAACUAGCGGAGCCACAAGUCCACAACACUCAUAACGAAGAGAUUAAUUAGAAUCUUGCAUGCGCACUCCUGCUCGUUGGUGCCGGAAAACAAAAUCCAGGUCGGAGGGAGUAUUAAGGAUGAUUUAAUUAGUUUAAUCAUGUGCACGCAUAUCAUCAAUUCGUGCAUUCUUUCCAUCUCCGAUUUAAAAUUUGUGUAUGAAAAUAAUACCUGCUUAAAUCCUAAAUAUACAACCCGUUGGUAAAACCUUUUUUUUUUGGCGGGUUCCUUUGGUAAAACCUUAACCUUUGACCUUGAGAACACUUGCAAAGGCUCACAUCUCAAUAAGAUAAGUCCCUGCAGAAUUUCAAGGCUUUUGAAAUUUAAAUAAGCGGACGAACUAUUUACUUAAACUCAAAUCACAUGAAAUUAUUCUACUCCUUCCGUCGAACAAAAAAUGUCUUAAAUUUGUCAAAAUUUGGAUCUAUCUAGACAUGACUUAGUGUAUAAAUACAUUUAAAUUUUGUCAGAUUUGAGACAUCCUUUAUUAUACGGAGAAAGUAACAAAAUAACAUUAGACUACUGCACCACCAGGCUGCGCGGCACUUGUCACUGCACUCCAUCGGUGGUGGCGGUGCCUGCCUGUUCGGUGGCGACGAUUAGGGAUUGUAGUACCUCCCCAACAGCACGGGAUGGAUGGGAAUUUUCAACGUAACUCUGCCAACAUCCCUGUAUUUCCUGUAGGCCCUCAGGCUUAGUAGUUUGCAAAUUGAACCCAGUUUACAUGGACAAUUGCGGACAGGUCCAAUUAACAAUACUAGUAUUGACUACUCCCUCCGUACUUGUCGUGAUUCUAAUGCAAUUAAAAGUAUAUGUGUACAAAAGUAAAUAUAUUCAUGUUCAAUGCACUUGCUUUUAGCAAUUAUACUCCAGUUUAUUAGAUCCAUUCAAGUUUAACAAUAACAGUCCAGUGAUCGGUAUGCGUGUGUGAACUACGAAGAGAAAAUCCCUCGAAAAAAACUACAAAGAGAAAAGAGACGCUGCAGGAUCGAAGUUGCAUAUACUAUUGCUCAGACUCGGAGGAAUCGUCUCAAGACCACUUAAUCAUUUUCAGUCCAAACGUUCCGACAGCCAAGACCCACGGGUAAGUUGCUACAGCUGGUAAGUUCUUGGGCCUAUAAUUUGAAUCUGAUGUAUUCCCUCUCUUCCUAAUUAAUUGCUGUCGGACAUUUUGUCAAAAAAUUCUUGCUAUUUUCCGAAAUCGUCCUGCAGUCCACGAUCUAUCAAAACUUUUGCAAAAUAAUCUGUAAUUUUUCGAAAUCAACGCGCAGUUCACAUUCAAUUGAAGAUGUGUACGGCAGGUUGAUUUCGUAAAUUUAAUAGAAGUUUUCUGCAGAAUGGCCAGCACCAAUUAAUUAGAAACGGAGUAUAUUACUGCAGUAUUCCAAGGACACAAUUGGCACUACAGUGGAGGCACUUACGUACCAAUCUGACCAUGAUUCACAACUCACAAACCAACUCAACAUGAAAAGCAAAAGCGGAAUGGAUCACAGUUGAACGAAAGAACUACGCAAGAACGAGGAAAAGCAUCUGAAAACACGUCAGAGGAAUAAUUAACUGCGACAAAAACAUCAACUACUUAACGGAACAUUCAGCUAAAUGGAUGACACUAAAACUUGUUAGUUAAACCAUCAAGGUUCCACUUAACUGCGACAAAAGGAACACUAACAGGAACAUCCUACCGCUUAGCCUCUACUUGUGGCGAUGCAAGAACCUGAGCAGGUUUCAUUCAAGCACGCACGCAUAGACGCUGGAAGGUCUACCAAGGCUGAGGCAAGAGUCCAGUUACUUCCCAACAUAGCUGCUGGUAUGCUGCCACUUCAGAGAGAACAGCUCAAGGCCUGCCAUUACGACACAUCAUGUCGGAAUGAGCUAAGGGGCAACUUGGCAACCUCACUUUGCUGUUGUCUGGCCAAGACCUGAACCUAUCAUCUCCGUUCGCAUUGCAACUACCAGAGCACCUUCACUUCGCAUCUCAUUGAUGAGUUGCUCGAGUCGUGGCAUUUGUCCAGCUAUGAAACCAAACAGUGCUCCUAUCGGAGCACCAAAGCAUGGGUCGAUCUGUCCACCGGUUGCAGUCAUUGCGGCAGGCAUGGUAGGAGUUGGUGAAGGGGGGGCUGUGCCUUCAGCAAGUUCUGGUGUGUUGGGUCGAGCAGAUGAGGCAGUCUGUUCCUGCUCUGUAACUUGCGUCUCGGCUUCUUCGGGAGCUUCAAGUCCACCGCGCAUGUUUAACCCUGCCACCAGGUGACCUUCUCUUCUCAGAGAGGCAUGCUUCUCUUCCUCCCGUGCACGACGGCCUAUGCCAUGUUGUUCUUCAUGCAGUGUGGGUGUGGCAACCUUAUCUUCUCUGCGCUUGAAUACUGCCCACAGGUAUGGUUUCCCUUUGAAGGCUGCAAUGGACAAGACAACACUGUAAGUCAGUAGAUUGGGGUAAUGAAAAGAAAACACUUAGUUACUGCUUUAGGAGAAAUUGAAUUAUUUAUAAACGAUGAUUAGUAUGCCAGGCUAUAUUUGAAUAACAGCGCUGCUAGAUUCGGGUAACAGAAAUUAUGCACGUCAUCAUCUUCUGUUACAAAAAUACUUCCAAGAAAGGACAGAGUGUAUACUUUGGUGUCGCUUAGGCAGUAGAAUAGAAGGAAAUAUCAGCAUCUCUGCUUCCCCAACAACAGCUCGUAAGACCAUGUCAUUAUCCAUAACUUCCCUAACUAGAUUGUCCAAGUCUGCAUCUUGCCUGGGAACCAGCAAGAUUAGAUUCCAAACUGAUAAAAAGAUAAAAAUGAUGCAAAUUAAGGUCAAAUGGUAAGCAAGAUACCUCAUUUCAUGGGGCAAGAAAUACAACGCAAUGCUAUCAUCAGUGGGUCCUAACGCUUCGAAGCUUUUAGGCCAAGCCUCCAACCUAGAAAGCUUUGUCACUUCAACCCGCGGCUGCAAUGAUCUUGAAAUUUUCCACACCUUGUCACAGUGUUUUACUGACAAAUGUGCUGCCAAUGGCACAUACUUAUUGCCUAUCUUAAAGACACCACUGUUGAAUAAACAACAAAAAGCUUAGCAUAUAGAGAGUACCAAGUAAACUUCAAAGACUGGAAGAAAAGAAUAUUUCUACCUCCAAAUGGGUUCAUCAAUUGGGAGGUCACUAUACGGUUGCAACUUGAAAGAUUCUGAAACGAAUGUAUUUUUGACCUCGGUACUCUUCAAGACAGUAGUUUGUGUGGUCAAUGGAGCAGUUCCGCCUUCAAUACCCCCAAGAUUUUGAUCAGCAUCAUCAUCGUUGUCAUCAUCAUCAUUAGAUAUGUACCUUCUAGUUCUCUUCACCGGCUUACAAUUCUCUGCUUCUACACUAUCACGAUCUUCAUGCAGUUCGGUCCUCAUCAUCAGUGUCUCAAGCUCCUCUUCCGACAACGGUUCAAUCCUCUUUCUCCUAGACUUGAAAGAUUCUGAAACGAAUGAAUUUGAGACCUCGGUACUCUUCAAGACAGUAGUUUGUGUGGUCAAUGGAGCAGUUCCGCCUUGAACACCCACAAGAUUUUGAUCGGCAUCAUCAUCGUCAUCAUCAUCAUCAUUACAUAUGUACCUUCUAGUUCUCUUCACCUGCUUGCGAUUCUCUGCUUCUACACUAUCACGAUCUUCAUGCGGUUCGGUCCUCAUCAUCGAUGUCUCAAGCUCCUCUUCCGACAACGGUUCAAUCCUCUUUCUCCUAGACUUGAAAGAUUCUGAAACGAAUGAAUUUGAGACCUCGAUACUCUUCAAGACAAUAGUUUGUGUGGUCAAUGGAGCAGUUCCACCUUCAACACCCACAAGAUUUUGAUCAACAUCUUCAUCGUCAUCAUCAUUACAUAUGUACCUUCUAGUUCUCUUUACCGGCUUACAAUUCAACGCUUCUUCACUAUCAUGAUCUUCAUGCGGUUCAGUCCUCAUCUUCAGUGUCUCAAGCUCCUCUUCCGACAACGGUUCAGUCCUCUUUCUCUUAAACUUGUCAUCACGCUUUGAUUUUGUAUUCAACUCCAUGUUAUUGCCCAUGGAUGAUGCCUUCACCGUCUGGUGAGUUGACAAAUCUUUGCCAAUUUUAGGGAAAGAAUUAUCCCCCAAGUUGCGCCGAUGAGUUUGUAUGACUUGAUCUUCUUUCCGAGCAUGAACGCUCGGCAUUUGUCCGGCAUUGCGUGAGUUCCGAACCAUUAAAGAGGGAUGCAAUUUUUUUGGAAUAUUAGAUUUGGAAUUUGAGCCAUCCUUCGACCCUGCGCAGGCAAGCUUUUCUGACUUUCUCGAGGAAAAUCCAUCCCUAUGUUGACAUGGCCGAGACCUCUCAUUAUCCUUCGGUUGAGAAACCAUGCCAUCGUUUGGCCUUGGGAAAGAUGGCCUAGGCACCUUGGUAUUCCUUGGCGUGGGGACUCUUCCAUUGUCCAGGCUCGAGGAAGAGGGCCUAGGAUUCUCAAUACUCUUGUGUGAACAGGUCGGAGCUUUGUUUAACCUUGAGGAUAACUCCGUAUUCUUUCGCAAAGAAACUGCACGAUCGUUCGAUCCUCGAGAAGAGGCCCUACGGCUCUCAAUGUUAUUCGAUGGAGAGGCUCCAACAUUGUCUGGCUUAGAGGAAGACGAUCGAGGCUUGUCGAUGCAACUUUGUGGAGAAACCAUAACGUUGUGAAGCCUUGAGGAAGAGGGCACUGGUCGUCGUGUCUGCACUACUACCCUAGUGUUAUCUGGUAGCGAUACCCCAUAAAACUCUUGCAUUCUCUUCUUCUCUUUCAGACACUACUUCCACAAUUUAGUUUUCUUUUGUGCAUGGCUUGCGCAAGCUUGCACCAAAUGCACAACCAUAAUUCUGUCUUCGGUUUCCCAUCUUGGGAUAUGACUCUUUGAGACAGGUGACAAAUUACGAACGCCAAACACUAUCGCACCCAAGCAAUAUCUACAUAGAACACAAGCGCAAUCACUAUAAAGAAAAUUAUAUUUAAUAAGUUACUGAUAGAUGCAAUUUUAUAGGAACACCAUUUAAUCAAAGCAAUAGGUUGGAUAAAUCUAGGAAUAAUUUAAAACAAAAUAGCCUUCCUAAAGCACAAAAAUAGAAAUAUUUCAAACUUCCAAAGGGUAUGGAUGAUAUUUUGAAACGAAUGAAGUAUUACAUUUCUCCUUGACGGCCUCAUGAGAUGUUUGGUUUAAGGCUAACGAUACUAAGCAAGGCAUAGCAGGAAAAUUAGAAGUUGGUAAAAGAUACUGCCACCCUUGGUAAAAAUUUCUAGUCAUGUGCGCCCUCAUGUGAUUGAUCCUUGAGCAAACCCAACACUUUGCACAAAGAAUGACGCCCACGCAUUCUGAGGUACACCCUUUAAACGUCUAUUUGACCAAUAAUACGUACAUUAUGUGUUAUAAAUUUGAUAAGAUUGAUGACUACUCUUAGUCAGAUUGAGUCAACUAGGUACUCCCAGGUGUAGUUACUCCCACGUUGAGUAUACAACCAACGGUACUAUAUAUACUAUAUCAAUUCCAAGGUACUUCAAAGCGAACUAUGAUAUCAUAUUUACUGUAUUUUUGAAAUACCUUCAUAAUAUACAUAUGAUUUUUUUUGCACAUUGGCAUGUACUUACUGUAUUUUAGAACUACCUUCAUAUUUAUACAUCUAAUAGAGUACGUUAAAAAAGGGCAUAUUCUACAUAAUACUACCUAUAUUCUACAUACUACAUACUCCCACUUGUUUUAUAUACUACCUGAUUUGCGUGAAAGGUAUGUGGGAGUAACUACACCCGACAAUACAAAAAAAAAAUUGUCCUAUAUACACACACAUUACCAUUAUAUCAUAAAAAUGAAAAACAUUAAGAUUACUAAUAAAAUAUAUACAUGUAGAUAAAACUAUCAAAAUAUUACCACCGAACCUACAUUUGUUCCUCAAUUUGACCAUAUACCCAGAAAUUAAUCUUACCCAAUUUAAAUACUAUCUCCAUCCGCUUUUAUAAGCAUGCAAGUGUUCCAAGAUCACCCAUUUAACUAGUUAUUUUGCUAGUCAUAUAUACAUGUAUAUUCAAAAUGAACUACAGUAUAUUUUUUAUGUCAUAUAAUUUAUAUUUUACUAGUCAUUGAUCUAAAUAAGAAUUCAUGCCAAACUAUGACACAUCAAAUUAAUCUAAAUAAGAAUUCUAACAAAUUCUUCAUUAAGGGCUAUCACAAAUGGUGUUCUUUAUAAAGGUUCCAACCUCAAACCUCACAUAGUGACUUGUGUGAUUUGAUUUCAAAAUGUGAUUUAAGAGACAUCAUAAAAAACUGAAAAUUAAGAAUCCUCUAGAAACUAUUCUAAUUGGUAUUGCAUUCGAUUGAAUUGUGCAAAUGCAAAUGAAAAUAACAUUACAUCUGUAAAAAUCCAUAUUUCAAAAAGAAACAUUACUGACUCUUGAAGAUCAAAUUUUACAAUCGGUGGAGCGACGUCUUGCUUUCUUCCCACUGUUGAGGAAAUUGAACAGGUAGCUGCUCAGUUGGAUGGCGAGUACGGCAUUAAUAAGCUAAUGGGUCGAUUAAUCAAUUUACCGCAUAUUCAAUGACCCUCGGAGCAGGGAUGAAUUGGCCGGUUAACAGGGUUUCUUCCCCUCACUCUUGCUUCAGACAUGACAUAUCCUGUCCCAUCACUCUCAGAUCCAUUAGCUACUAUGUAACAUUACAGUAUCGGCCGCGAACCUUACCGACACCCACCGAUCAACAAUCCAAAAGUAUAAUAUGUACCCAUGCACUAUACUUUUGAACAGAUGGGGCCACGAUCGAAAGCAAAAGUUGCACCUUGGCACUAGCAUUUUGAAGAGAUGGCUCCCCAAAUACAGAACACGAAAUGCACCUCAACACAAUCCUUUCAACAAAGAGCGCCACAAUGCUUAGUGAGACCAAACGAACACAACACAUUUUUGUGGUCACCAUGAUUUUUGAGUCGCCAAGUUAAGUUGAGUCGUCCCCGACCCAAGUCAAACCUAGUAAUAGGGUUUUUUUUACAGAGAGCAUUACAGGAGGGGGGGCUGCAGUACAAGGAAAGCUUGAAGUAGAGGUCAGGGUGGCGAGGGACCAAAGCAGUGGUAGGCUGCAAUGCAGAGCCCUCGCGAGUGGCUUUGAGGAUGACAACAUUAGGAGUCUAUGUCGAAUAUUAGGGACUUCGUAACCGUAGGUGUUUGCAUGGCUGGCCCAUAAGGCCCGUUAAAAAACCUUAACUUUCGUUAGGCCAUCCGGACCGUCAACACCUCUAGGAGGUGCCCAGACCGUCAGGUUGGAAGUCUUGCAAGGAAAAUCCCAGAGCAGCCGCCACAGCUUUCCUCCCCUCCUCUUCUCUAUCCCCCUCACACCAAUGGCGGAGCAGAUCGAAUGUCGAUUUCUAGCCGAAGAAGAUUCCUUGCCUGCUGCCUAAACCAUCUCGCCCCAAAAUUUCCUGUCGCAAGGCUCGAGCGUUCCCCGUCGCGCGGCUAGUCGGCCAGGCAACAAGUCGUGCGACUUUGUCCGCUAGUCGAGUCGCAACAGCAAGCGGAAAUCGCUGCCCCGGCUAGGGGACUAGCCGGCCACUCAAAAACCAUGGCUGUCACAACAACUUCCCAAGGCGGCAAGGCCUGGUACUCUGGCAACAGCAAGAAGCAGUGUGUUGGCCUCAACCAUGAGAGCGCUUGGGAGGCAAGACCAUCAGUAGAACUUGAAUCAGAAAAAUCAUCUGUGUACGCCUAUCCGAUCCAAUCUCAACAGUAAACUACUGCCUACAAUAGAUCCACACCAGCUUGAUCUCUUGCGGCAGUUGAUGUCGUUCACCGGCUCAUCCCAGGCGGGAUUAACCGACGGAAAUUAAUCCUUGCCGAACUCAAAAACGAAGAGUAAAAUCAACUAGCAGAUCCAGUAAAUCAAGCACUGAACCAAUCAAAACAGAGCUUUAGCACAAGCAAGCACAUGCACAUAUCAGAGAAGGAACAGAUGCAUGCGAUAGGAGCAUAAAUCUUGCAAAGAAUAUGCAACAUAUAUAGGAGUAAAGGCGCAAACCUAACGUCCAGCUACUCUGCUCUGGAAAUGAACAAACCGGGAUGGAGGCCUCGCGCUAGAUCGGAACCGCAGCCUCACGAACAACCGAGAAUCCAGGUCGUUCCACGGAAAGACGAACGAACUCGCCGGCGCUUGUUGUCGAGCCCCACCCGCCGACGCGAACUGUUGCUGGGCAAACCCCAGGGAGAGCAGAACCCCAGGGGGAAGCUGCAGCAGAGGAGGAAGUCGAUACGUGGCAAAAGAAACCGAAGAGCACAGGUCCCCUGGCCGCUUUAUUUUGUAAGGGGGGCUCGUGGCGCAUCGGGAGACCGGAGUCAUGAAGAGGGAAUGAAGGAAACCGAUGGGCGGAGCAAACGUAAACGGCAAGGAUAUCUCUUCGUGUCGAUCAGUUUCCAUCCCAGAGCGAAUUCCGGGCGAAGAUCGUGCUGGCCGUUUGGUCGAUAUUUAUCGUCGUGGCCUACCUGCGCCUGCGCGGGGCGCACGACAUGUAUUCUAUUUGUACAUUGGGGGCUCCUGCACGCCCGUUUUUGGUUUUACUAACGUGGCUGCACUUCAAAACAAAUUUUAGCAUACAUACGGGAGUAGUCCAGAGUUUUAACGGGACGUAGUCCAGAGACGUUUGUUGAACAUGCAUUCAUAUCAUCACGUCGUGCAUUGGUUUUAACUCAAGAUGGCAAUGGGACCCGAAAUACGAAAACCCGCGGGUUUUUACUCCAUCAGUGGACGGGAUCAAGUUCAAUCCCCACGGGUUUGUUCAUGGGUCAAAAGUGAAACCCAGCGGGUUUCAUGGGUUCAAACCCGGUCCAGCACUCCAUGAAUCCGGUACCCGUGAAACCCACGAAAACUCAAUAUGACUCAUAAAAAUGACCUAAUACAGUCCAUAUUUCUACCCAAAAUGGUGUUGUUAUAUGUGUGAAAUGGUGCCCUUACAUAUGAGAACUAUAUAUGAUGUUGUCACAUGUGUGAAAUGGUGCCUAAAUUAUAUUAUUUUCUCUUAUUUCAAUGCUGAAAGGGGUUGUUUUUCAUUCAUGUUGCUGCCGCAACUUUGGCUUGAUGCUGAAAUGCUGGUGGGUUCGGGUUUCCCGACGGGGACAAAAAACCCGAUGGUGACGGACUGGGAGAAAACUGAAACCCAUGAUCGAGGACGGGACGGGUCUGGGACGAGGGUCGAGGGGACGGAUUUGGGCAGCCACUGCCCGGCGGGUUUCGUCCCGUUGCCAUCCGAAGUUUUAACUCUAAUUUGGGCUGCUCAGGGGGAAAGGUGGGUUGCUGGGCUGCUGGUUGGGGUGCCACUGGGCUGCACAGGUGGCUGGCUGGGCUGGGCUUGCUCAGGCCCAAAGGAGAGGGGGGUUUGGGACGCCUAGGGUUCGGGGAGGAGAUUGGGAACAAGUGAACAACUGAACAAGGGGGUCGGGGAACGGUAGCUCAUCCGAAUGGGAGAACAGCAGUGGCGGCGGCGGCGGCGGUUCUGCUCGCUGGCGGCGGCCGGUGCAGGGGCGUGCUACGGGACAUGGGUAAAGGGAGGCGACGGGAAAAAAUGGAGUGCUCACCGAGGGCUCGAGACUCGAGAGGGAGGCGAAGUUCGGGGACGAGGCGGAGCAGUGCGGCGGCGGCUUGGCGGUGGUCGUAGCCGGAGGCGGGGAAGAAGGAGUCGAAGCCGAGCAUGUAAGAUAAAUCCUGAGCAUCCACGUCGUGUGUUUGUUAGGCGGUGCGGUUAAGGCCUGCAUAGUCGGCCGCCGUCGUAGUAUACGUUUUGGUUUUGGCUUUGGCUUUGUUAGUCGGUUGUUAGGCUGUCAGGCGGUUCCUACUGCCUAUAAGUAUGCUGUCCUAGUCUUGUAACAAGUAACGAAAAAAUAGAAUAUCAGUUGCGUUCCUUGCUGUCCCUUUCACGAGAGAAUAGUGAGGGUGAAAGCGACGGGUUCUGGCCAUCAAUUGGUAUCAGAGCUACGGUGAGCUCUGGACGCGAUGGCCGGUAGUCAUGAUCGUUCACGCGAGCGAUCAGCUGCUGGCUCAAGAUCCGCGUCGCAACGGCCGAGAGGCCGGAGCCCUGGAGCGAGGCGCAACGACGGUCGCCAAAUCAUCGUCCAGGAGCGGGUGGUCAGCGGCGUCGGGGGAGGCACGAUCGUCUACCCUGAGCUGACCUCGACGAAUUAUGUGGAGUGGGCGCAGGUUAUGAAAGUUAACUUGCGUGCACAACGCUUGUGGAGCGCCAUCGACGUCGACGACGACGACGAAGUCCCAGAGGACACCGACAUGGGGGCCCUGGCAGCUCUCAUCCGGGCUGUCCCACCGGAGAUGAAGGGCAUCAUAGCCUCCAAGGACACCGCCAAGGAGGGGUGGGAUGCCAUAAAGAUGAUGCGGCUCGGCGUGGAGCGCGUGCGGGAGGCAGCGGCGGAACGGCUCCGACGUCAACUCGAACGAUUCGCCUUCAACGAUGGCGAGUCCCUUGACUCCUUCGGCAUGCGGCUGAGCAACCACGUCAACCACAUGGCCACACUCGGAGAACCAGUCGCGACGGUGAUGGUGGUAAGAAAAUUCCUCAGCUGCGUUCCUGAAAAAUACAUGCAAAUUGCCAUAUCGAUCGAGACGCUUCUCGACUUAAAGACGUUGUCGCUUGAAGAACUGAUCGGGCGGCUACGGGCAACUGAGGAUCGGUACGCCCUCGGCGGCAGCACGUCUAGUGCCGCCGGAGGACAACUCUUGCUCACCGAGGAGGAGUGGGAGACGCGCCGCAAGCAGCGGCAAACGGGCCGAGGGAGUGGCCACGGCCAGAGCAUGGGCGGCAUGGGCCACGCCCAGAACGCGAGCGGAAACGGGAGGGGCAAGGCGCCGAAGCAAGGCACGCCCGCGACGCCAGCGGGAACAUCGACAUGUCUAAGGUAAAAUGCUAUAAUUGUAACAAAAUGGGGCAUUUUUCUAAGCACUGCAAGGAGCCGCGGAAGGAGCGUAAAGGGCAGCAGCAGCAGGUGAACCUGGCAAAGGCCAACGGCGACGAACCUACGCUGAUGCUGGCGCGGGCGUGCACCAGCGACGAUGAACCCACCCUGCUCAUGGCGCGUGUCGACGCGCCACCGCAGGACACGACGGGUGCCGACGAGUUCGUGCAUCUUGUCGAGGAACGCGUGCACCUCACGAGGGAGGGACACGACAACGACUGGUUCCUCGACACCGGCGCAAGCAACCACAUGACCGGGCACAAGGAGGUGUUCGCGGAGUUGAACGCCGGCGUGGGCGGCACCGUCAAGUUCGGUGACGGGUCCCUCGUGCAGAUCGAAGGGCGCGGCACCGUCAUCUUCGCCUGCAAGAACGGCGAACAUCGCGCCAUGACGUACGUCUACUACAUUCCUAGGCUCAAGAGUAACAUCGUGAGCUUGGGGCAACUCGACGAGAAUGGGUGUUCGACACUCAUUGAGGAUGGCUUCCUCCAGCUGCGCGACCGCAAGCGUCGGCUGCUGGCGAGGGUGAGGCGCGGACGCAACCGCCUCUACGUGGUGACGCUCGACAUCGCACAGCCCGUGUGUCUCGCUGCACGCCGCGGCGACGACGCGUGGUGUUGGCAUGCGCGCUAUGGGCAUCUCAACUUCGAGUCGCUGCGCAAGCUGGCGAGCCACGGCAUGGUACGUGGCAUGCCGCAGAUCGAACACGUGAACCAGAUCUGUGAUAGCUGCUUGGCAGGGAAGCAGCGACGUACCCCUUUUCCGCAGGUUGCCAAGUACCGUGCACAGAAGCUACUCGAACUCGUGCAUGGCGACAUCUGCGGCGCCAUCAAGCCGGCGACGCCCGCCGGCAACAGCUACUUCCUGCUACUCGUCGACGACUACAGCAGAUACAUGUGGUUGACGCUGCUGAAACACAAGGACGAGGCAGCUCAGGCGAUUCAGCGAUUCAAGGCGCGCACCGAGAUCGAGUCCGGGAAUAAGCUUGGCAUGCUCCGGACCGAUCGCGGUGGCGAGUUCACGGCACACACGUUCGCGGCGUACUGCGCCGAUCAGGGAGUGGCACGGCAGCUGACGGCGCCGUACUCUCCCCAGCAGAAUGGCGUCGUGGAGCGUCGAAACCAGUCCGUGGUGUCCACGGCGCGCAGCCUGCUGAAGGCCAAGGGCAUGCCGGGGCGGUUCUGGGGAGAGGCAGUGACCACCACGGUCUACCUCCUCAAUCGCUCACCAACGAAGAGCCUCGACGACAAGACGCCGUUUGAGGUAUGGCAUGGGUUUACUCCUAAUGUGCAGUACCUAUGUACUUUUGGUUGUGUUGCCCAUGUCAAACCGACGAAGCCGCACCAAAGCAAGCUUGAAGAUCGCAGCAAACCGAUGGUCUUCAUCGGCUACGAGCAAGGAUCGGCGGCCUACCGAUGCUACGAUCCGGUGCGCGAUCGGGUGCACGUCACCCGUGACGUCGUGUUCGACGAAGGAGCACGAUGGGACUGGGAGCAUGGCAAGAACGACCAUACCCCCGGCUGGUUCACAGUGGAGUUUAACUCCAUGCUCCUACCAGGCUCUGCCGUGACAGCAUCCACAGCCGAAACAGCUGCCGCGACGGAGUCUCCAGCUCCUGCUAUGCCUACUGCGGCAGGAUUUCCUGCCAAUUCUGCUGCCGCGACAGGACCGGCUGCCUCACCUGCCUCGACAGCAACAAAACAAGCUGAUUCGACUAUCGCGACAGAGGUCGAGCACCCGAUGGUAACACGGGCGAGGGCUGGUAUCUUCCAGCCCAACCGGAGUCUGGCUGACUACGUGGUCAGUCACGACGACGAUGAUGACGACGUGCUGCAGCUAGCGGACGUCGACGAGCCUCGCACGUACAACGAGGCCUCGGACGAUGUGAAUUGGAAGAAGGCGAUGGAGGACGAGAUCGACUCCAUCAACGAUAACCACACUUGGCACCUUGUUGAUUUGCCUGCAGGACAACGACCAAUAGGCCUCAAGUGGGUGUUCAAGCUGAAGCGCGACGCGUCGGGCAACGUAUUCAAGCACGCAAAGGGCUCCGUCCAGCGGCACGGAGUGGACUUCGAUGAAGUGUUCGCCCCUGUCGCACGCCUGGAGUCAGUGCGGCUACUCCUGGCACUGGCGGCGCAUGAAGCUUGGUCCGUGCAUCACAUGGACGUCAAAAGCGCCUUCCUUAACGGUGAGCUGCAGGAGGAGGUGUACGUGAGCCAACCUCUCGGCUUCGUCGCUCGUGGCGAGGAGCACAAGGCGCUGCGCCUCGACAAGGCACUCUAUGGCCUGCGGCAAGCACCGCGGGCGUGGUACGCCAAGCUCGACAGCUCUCUGCUGUCACUUGGCUUCAGUCGCAGCACGGCGGAACACGCCGUGUACGCACGCGGCAACAAAAAGGGGCGCCUGCUGGUCGGUGUAUACGUCGACGAUCUGAUAAUCACCGGCAGCGACGAGCAUGAGAUCGAGCUGUUCAAGGAACAAAUGAAGGAGAAGUUUUGCAUGAGUGAUCUUGGAUUACUCAGCUUCUACCUGGGAGUUGAAGUGAAACAAAGCGCCGAUGGCAUCACUUUGUGCCAGUCGGCGUACGCGGCCAAGAUCCUGGAUCAGGCCGGCAUGACGGGAUGCAAUCCCUGCACUUUGCCAAUGGAGCCACGUUUUAAGCUGAGCAAGACCAGCACAGCUCCACCAACUGACGCCACAGCCUACCGGAGCAUUGUGGGCAGCCUCCGGUACUUGGUACACACUCGGCCAGACAUCUCCUACUCAGUGGGGUACGUGAGCCGCUUCAUGGAGGCUCCGACGACUGAACAUUUGGCCGCUGUGAAGCACAUCCUCCGCUACAUAGCUGGUAUGCUGCACUAUGGCUGCAUGUACAAGAGGAGAACGAAUGAGGCAGCUGUUCUGAAUGGUUUCAGUGACAGUGACAUGGCGGGCGACGUCGACACCCGCAAGAGCACCACCGGCGUCCUGUUCUUCUUCGGCGAAAGCUUGAUCAGCUGGCAGUCGCAGAAACAAAAGGUGGUGGCCCUGUCCUCAUGUGAAGCAGAAUACAUUGCUGCGACGACAGCAGCUUGCCAGGGCAUUUGGCUCGCCCGUCUGCGCAGUGAUUUAACAAACGAGCAGCCGGGGAGUGUUCUGCUAAAAGUGGACAACAAGUCGGCGAUUUCUCUCAGCAAGAACCCCGUUUUCCAUGACCGCAGUAAGCACAUUGAUACAAGGUAUCAUUUCAUCCGUGAGUGUUUGGAAGACGGGAGGGUUGAAGUCCAGUUCAUCGGCACUGACGGCCAGCUCGCAGACAUACUGACGAAGGCACUUAGCCGUGCUCGUUUUCAGGAGCUUCGAGUUCGAAUCGGUGUCAAAGAAAUCAAGUAAGUGCUCAGGUUUAGGGAGUGAUUUGUAAGAUAAAUCCUGAGCAUCCACGUCGUGUGUUUGUUAGGCGGUGCGGUUAAGGCCUGCAUAGUCAGCCGCCGUCGUAGUAUACGUUUUGGUUUUGGCUUUGGCUUUGUUAGUCGGUUGUUAGGCUGUCAGGCGGUUUCUACUGCCUAUAAGUAUGCUGUCCUAGUCUUGUAACAAGUAACGAAAAAAUAGAAUAUCAGUUGGGUUCCUUGCUGUCCCUUUCACGAGAGAAUAGUGAGGGUGAAAGCGACGGGUUCUGGCCAUCAGAGCAAGCAGAGCGCGAAUCGGCCCCCAGAGAUGUCCGCCGGACGCGCACUGGCGUGAUGGCGUCUCGCCUCUCGGACUCAACGGUGGCUCUGGAAGACUGGAACACCAGGAACGCGAGCGGGAAUGGCGGUGGUUCGGUGGCCACGCGGUCACUGGAGACGACGAAGAGAGGAGAUGUCCGGUGGAGUUGCGGGAGCCCGAAGAAACUAACGGGAGUGGUGGCUGUGGAUAGGGUGGAGCCCCGGCGGAACUCGAAGCUUUUCCUGUGAGGUUUUCUUGCCGUUGUUGAGGGAGAGAUGCAGCGGGAGUACUAACAGGCGAGGGCUUGGUGUGUGCAGGAGAAGGCGAGAAUUGGCUUUCGGUGUGAAUGGGAGGCGGCAAAGUCCUCGGCGUCAGGCGAGCGCAGGCGCACAGUGCAGCGGCAGGGAGCAGGGUGUGGUGCAGUGCGGGGGGCCCAGAUGUCUCCAAACGGUGACCAUCAUCUAUGUUAUUGCAAAAUAGAAAUUUCAGGACUGGUAAAAAAAAGGAAAUUUCAGGCUGCUUAACAUCCACCCCCAAAAUGCUUUAUAACUCACUUCUAUAUUUUUCCAAUUGUCUAACCCAUCCAUUGCGCAAAGUCCCAUCAUAAAAAAAAUUCCUUAAGAAGCACCCCCAUAAUGCUUAUGACUCGUCUCUAUCUUUUCUCAGAUUUCUUACGACUCAGUAUUUGCACACAUUGAAUACGCCUUAAGCCAAUAAGGAACUGACCAGCGGGCCCCGCAACUCAAAGAGAGAAAGGGCAGUCCAAAUGCACAAGUCAAGACGGUUCCCACGGCCAGCACGUGUCAGAAGAGGUUUGACAAGCAGUGGGCGUCCGUCCAGUCAAAAGCCAACAUGCAGCGGCUCCAAAUAAUUUUGAGAAAAGUCUACGAGGAAAGACUUAGAUUUUGAGGCCUAAGGCCCUCUGCAUAAUGUCAAAAGGCCAAAUUUGCAAAGUAGUUUCAAUUUAGCGUUGGUGCUAAAUUUUAGUUUUGUUGCAAUGUAUAUGAUGCCAAAUUUACACGUAGACGAAACCCACGGAAGAAUAAGUUACCCUAAAUAAUUUCACCCCAUCUAUUUUCCUUAUCACUUCCUCUUCCCCAACUGCACCUUCCAUUCAAAUCCUCCACCUAGCACCGUCUCCCCCUGCGCCAGGCACCACCAUCAUCCACAGCCAGGGCCGCCUCCGCCUCGCUAUGCCCCGCGUCUCACAUCGUCGGGCAGUUUAUGUUGGCACGAGACGUGAGAGGGCAAUACCAAUUUGUUUAUUCUCUAGCAAAAUUUAGCACCGGAGCAACGGAUGUGCCAAAUGCCAAAUUUGGCACUGCUAUUUGGCAUACACUGUGGAGACCCUAACAUGGUCCGAAAAUUAUAAAAUUUGACAGGCGUGCUUGAAGUAGUUUUAUCUAUCUACUUCAAAUGUUUCAGCCGUUUCAACCAAAAAAUUUAAUUUUAAUUGAUUUUAAAUACUUCUUCAAAUUCAUAUAGACUUAAAAUAAAUCCAAUAACUUUGUUCGUAAUUUUGAUAAAGUUCCCACAAGAUCGUAUUUGGAUUUGCCAAAAUGUUUUGUUCCCAAAUACAUAUUCUCAUGGGUUCGAAAAUAGUUCUAUUGUAUUCAGAUAUUUUCAAAUGUGGUUCAAGUUAGAGUAAUUUGUUGGGCCACUAAUUAAAUUCCAUAGAUCUUGGGACUCAUUUUAUAAUUAUAGGGGCUUGUGCAAAUGUUCUCAAGGUCAAAGGUUGAUGUUUUGAUAUCGUCGUAUCCGGGCAGCGGCACCUCAGAUCUCGUGGAGGGAGGCGGCGUGGGCAAUGUAACACAGUGGACGUCGUAGGAUGGAGGCGGUGGCGAUAAGGGUUGUAAACGGUGCUCGUUUAUCGCCAGAGAGAGAGAGAGGGGGGGGGGGGUUUUAUAAAUAUAGGUUGGUGGUGAGGAACCAGUAGAAUAGGAGGCUGUAAAUGCAAAACUACAAAUCCACCAAUCCUGAAGCGUUAGGGCAACUACAAAAUAACCAAUACAAAAAGUGUCCGUUUUGGUCUGUUUGGGUCACGACUCGAACAAAGCAAAAGAUUUUUUCCUGCAUUUGUUUGGGUCCGCUGGUGCCCCCGACGCGAUCACCUAUUUGGUCCAUUUUAUUGGUCAUAAACAUGCAUGCCGUAGGACAAAGGAACAUGAGGACAAAAGAGCAAAAGAAGAACAAACGCACACCAAAGAUGAUGUCCAUCCAGACCAAAACAUGGACCAAUUUGGGUUGGACACAGGUGGGCGGCCUGAAUGGAAAUGGGUCUUCCCACUGGAGAUGCUCUUAACAGGCCAUUUCAUUAUGGGAGACGUUCUCGGAGAGCCUCCAGCAGAUCGCUAAAAUGUGGCCUCGUGUAACUGGGCAAACCGUAAGACAAUGAGCUCGCCUAAUCUUUGUAAUACAACAUGUAUAUGUUUUUCAGUGAUAAAAACACAAGAUAACAUUAAAAGGGAUCCGCAAUCCAAUGUCACAAUUGAUCUACCUGUCAAGAAUCAACAACAGAAACUUCACAUCUAUUCUUACAACGCCAUUUUAUCAAAAAGGGCCUUACUCAUGAAGGGAAGUUGGGAGAGUUCAUUGCAGCUCUGGAGGACACUAGUUCAAGAUCCAUUUUCAGCUCUAAGGAUGCGGCUUCCCUGCGAUCUUCCUCUUCUCUUUCUUCUCUUUGAUCUUUUGUACAAAAAAACCUUUUUACUUAACACAAACCCACUGUACCGGUAGUAUGCCACUGGCAAGUGGAUCUCCUAAAUGCCGUACAAUUGUGAGAGGUAGCGACACAGUUAACUGCCUCCCUUCUGCUUGAGGGUAAUCUUGUCUCCCAAACUGAGCGCAAUUCCUUGGGUCUUGCUCCUUAUUCUGAUGUAACCACUGAGCUUGCCAUCAGCUUGCUUUUCGAUGCUUAUAUUCACCAAAGCAUCUUCACCAAACACACUCUUCGCGUAAAGGUUAGCAGCGAGAAAACCACACUCCCCAUCAAGCGCAGACCUGAUGUCAGGUUAUCAAUCACAGUUCAUCAGUAAUCAGAUAAGCAACGGAAGGUAUGGAGUAAGAUAGCAGUCCUUGGCAAUGGCAAUAUCCUAACCAGCUAACCCUCGAGAACUAACCAACUACUCAUCUCAUCAAAAGCAGGUAUUCAAAUGCAAGAUUUUUUUGUUCUGUUUCACUAACCAAAUUAAUCAUCAUUUAGAUUAGCUGUGUAUAAAACAACAAAAAUUGGUGUUCUAUUUGUAUCUCAUGCAUGAACAAUCUUGGUGCCGCAAAAGGCAGAAGUUAUAUAUUCUUGUAAUUUGUGCAGUUUUACUUGGUUCUUAAUCAUAUCAAAGAAGCUCAUAAUUCAUAGUAACCUGCCUAAACUAGAAGCCUUAGCCAUGAGCAUUGCGAAAAAUAGAGAAGUUAGGCUUAGCCUAAGUAAAUUAGCCUUCAAACUGGAAAAGGCGGACUGUUAACUGAAGCCUAAACCUCACCUGUUAACCAAAUAAGCAUUACUGUAAUUGAUAUAGAGUAAAUUAUUAGCAUUCCAUUCAUGAUUAUGCAUGUAGUGGCGGUCUGUAAAUGUCUACAUGCCUAAAAUAGGUACACAAAUACAAAAUAAAUAACUUAUGCAACUAUAUAAUAUCAAAGCAAGCACAAUUCUUGUCUGAAGAUGUAAGAGGUCAACUGUGACAAAAACUUACGGAGGUGUUAGACACUUCAUGUUUGUCGACUUGAUAACAUGAUUCAAGAAUUCCUUCUCAUCUUGAAUCACCGUAUUGACUGCAACCUGAUGAACAAGAAAAAAGCAAUAGUUGCAGUCAGAACCUGAAAUAAGGAACAAAAAUAUUCAUAACACAAUAAAAGGAGCAUGACAUGACAAUUUCAAUGCAUUCCGUAUCAACCCGGUGCAAUGACAAAAGUAACUCUAAGAAGACAGCUUUCAAAGCAAAAAAUGACAAAUAGUCAAUCAAACUGAAAAUUAAGAAGUUUGAUUGAAGGAAAUGGUCCAAAAAGAGUAAUUAUUAAAAAUAACAGCUUCAGCUACAGAGAUCAGAAGCUGAAAGGCUACAAUAUUUCAGCAAAUAACCAAGAGACUAUUUUUUCCACCGUACGUUGACUAGGGAAUAUAAAUACAUGAUACAGUACAAAGCAGGAUAAUGACAAAUCAAUAAUAAUAAUACUCCCUCCGAUCCAUAAAAAGUUUCGCACAUUUUGUACUAAGUUAGUACAAAUUUUGUACUAAGUGGGCGACACUUUUUAUAGAUAGGAGGUAGUAGUGUAGUAGAGCAAACUCAACAAUGCUGUUGAUGCAGAUCAGUUACAAUGUUAAAUAUAAACGAUUUUUACAGAUAAAUUGGCUACAUGGAAAUAAAACAUAAGGUUAAGCAAUGUAUGCGAUCAAGUGGAGGCAAAAUACUACUCCCUCCAAUCGAUAUUUCUUGUUGCGGCUUUGUCUAGAUAUGCAUGUAAGAAUUAGGAGCAACAUAGACUAUAAACUUGGAAUGGGGAAAAUCCUGCGAAAGACGUUGCAGUGACUGCAUUGUACAAAGAAGCAUGCAUAUUACCUUGUUUUCCCACUCAAAUUCAGCCCACAUGUUACGGAAAGUAACAUCUGCACAUGUAGCAGGUGAGAUGUAAUCCAUGAUGUCAAUGUGAAUAUCAUUUAGGACAACCACUGAUCGCUCCAUCACAUUAGAAGUCUCGUAAACUAUGUUACCAAAUAUGACUCCAGUCUCUGUUGAAGAAACCUUUAUAUUAGCACGUAUUUGCUUGCUCGAUUCAGGAGCCAAAGUGUAGUUCUGAGGGCGAUCAACAAGUUUGAGAUCUCCCAUUGUAGCCAAUUCCAAGCACAGGUUCUGAAGUGUCUCCUUUGUACGGUUAAUGACAGUAACAUCAAGUACAAUAUCAUAAUGAUGAACUGUCACAAAUGCUUCAGCAUAUACAGGAUCACUGAACCCAGUCAACUGAAGAAUGCGAUUGAGUCUGUUUGCAUCAUCUGUUUCCUUAGUAAAUCCACCAGUUGCAGCCUUCAAAUCAUCCUGGACCUCAUCUUCCAACUCAAGCUGGGUCAUGCCCUAGAAAAAAAUGCCACAUUUUAUCAACAGGAGAAACAGGUAUAAAAUAGUAUGUUGGUAAGCUCUGGAAAUUAAAAGGUCACCAUCCAAGACAAUAAAUAGUAAUGCUUAAGAUAUUCUCUACUGAAGCAUUGCCAUAUUAACAGUUUAACACUAAUAGUAAACCUUCGCCUCGAAGCAACAAUAUGGUUCAUGUCUAUUGAUCUUAACAUGCUCCUAAUGAUGUUGAAGAAACUGCCAGCUUUUCCUCUACCAAAAGAAGAUAAAGUUUCCAGCUAAGGGUAGUAAUGUACUACCUUAGCAGCCCUCUUGAAAGAUCAAGAUAAUUUUGACACGUGUACUAGUAUUUCAAAUCCAACAAAUAGACCUAAACCUUUCAAGUUGAAACAAGGCUGGUUACAGCUGACCAAUAGCACAGUGUUUGAACAUAGAUAGGCAAGUACCAUCCACUAUAUUGUGUUGCACACAGAGAAGCAUGAACACCUGUUCAAUGUUGCAUUAUAGGACAUACACUGAUGCUAGUGGAAAACAAAGAACUGGUUACCCAACGCUGACUUCAUGGCAGGAAAAAACAGAACAGUUCUCGUUUGAAACAAAGUAUUCUUAGAGGUUAGGAGAGAAAGCAAAAAUGUUUUAGUUUGUUGCAAGAUCAUUUUAAGGAUCACACAAUGUCAACGUGAGUUGCUUUAUAGUUGAAUAACAAAAAUGACAUUUCAAAAAUGUUUCUUAGAGCAGUUCAAAAAUCAUUAAGCCUGGAGAAAAGACCAACUCAAUACAACAUACUCCCUCCAUUCAAUAAUUUUGAACUUAAACGAACGACAAGAAUCAUGGAACGGAGGUAGUAAUGUGCAAUAACUUCCGCAACGGCAUUAGAUUAAUAAUUCCAAGCACCUAGUCAUGCAUUUAUUGCUCGCUUUAUUAGAAUGCUUGUGGUGUGGUCUAGGCGCUAACAAGCAUUGGCGGAAGAAAAGGUUGCAAUUUCCAUAGUGCAAAAGCAUAAUUGAUAGGUAGUUUUCUCUUACUCUUCUGCUCUUCAGGUGGUAGAAAUCAAUAAGAUCAUCUGGCUGGGCAUGAGAGAUCUGUGCCUUGGCCUUCAUCUCCUCUGUCUCCCUGAAUUGCUUCUCAGCAAGCAUCUUGGCAAAACUCUGUCUACAUGACUGCAGCCAAAUCUUUCUCACAUCAUCACCAGUAUUGCAAAGCAACCUCACGCAAAGCACAAUCCUGUCAUAUGAAUCAUUAUCAAUUGGCUGGGGAAGGUAGGAGGAAAGCCCGAGCUGCAGAAUGGACGUCAUGACCAACAAGGCCCCAGUACAAGCUUUGUUUGCUUCAACCUUUGAUGGUUGCACCUCCUCUAGCCUCAGUAUAAGUUUGGUAAGUGUACAGGCAACAACUGCAGCCAAGAAGAAAUCGCCGGAAAGAAUGAGUGAUCGGAGAUUCAGGGUUGAUGCUAAUGAUCCAGGAGUGACUGAUGGAGUCGAAAUGGCUUCAGUAGCAGCACUCUGUGUGGCAUAAGUGCCGUCUGCAAGAACAACCGGCCGUCUCGAAGAUACAGUGACAGAGUUCACCAUCGGCUGGGUUGGCUUGGUGGAAUCAGUUGUCUCCCCUUCCUCCGAGACAGUGAAGAAUGGUAGAUCCCCAAGGCACUGCUUGAUGGUGGCAAUGGCACUCUCAACCUCUGAUAACGAUAGGGAGUACUCUCCAAGAAUCCAGAGAGCAAUUGAGCAGACACGGGAUGCUCGGAUCUGAUAGAAGGUAUCGAUCAGCCUCUGGAUCAUGGACACACGCAGCUUGGGAUUGGUCUCAAUGAUCUCACGCACAAACAACACAACAUCAACUGCUGCUGCCACAUUAGUGUCACCAAGAAAGUCCAUAAGGAGGUGCACCACUGAUCCAGCAACCUCUGGGAACUCCACCGCACAUGCAUGGAUGGCCUGCACCAGCAUCUGCCGGUACUCGCCACCCUUCUCAAGCUCCCCCGAUUGCGUCUUGACCACCUCCUUCUUGAGGUAAAGCACCACCUCCUCGACAUUACGGGGAGUGAGCAGAUCCAGCACCAAAUCCAGUACCUUCCUCUUGACAUCUAAGUUCGGGCUGGCAAGUGCACGCAGCACAUCCAUUACUACAUCCACCAUCACAUCCCGGUGCGAUGUGCGCAGCUCAUUCAGGCGGUCCAGGAGAAUGAGCCUCACAUUGUUGUCACUCUGCGAUGAGAGCAGCUGGCAGUAUGUGUUGGCAGCAGCCCGCACCGCAGUGGGUGCUGAGGAAAGCGACACGAGAGCACCUGCGCACUCAUACACAACCGCUGUGCUUGGAGAGGAAAGGAGGGAGAUGAUGAUCUUGAUAUACCUGCCCUUGUCGGCACGGUUUGGAGAGCGGCAGACCUUUCUGAUGAGGUCGACCGCGGCCAUCUGCAGGAGAUCGGGCCACUCGGUGACACGUUCAGCGUUGGAGAAGAGGUAUGCCACGGCACGUUCCUGCCCACAGAGGCAGAGCAUGAGGAACGCGUUCCGCCGGGCAGAAGCGUCCUGCUCCGACGCGAGCGCGCGCUCAACGAGCUCAGGGGCAUCGGGGAUGAGCUGGUCGCCGUGCGGGAGGCGGUAGAUCGCCGAGAUCGCGGAGAGCGCAUGGCGGCGGAUGAAGUGGUGGCGGUGCUCGAGAUUCUCGAGGAUGGAAGGGACGAGCGGCUCGAGCACCUCCGGCUCGGAGAGGCGGCAGAGGAACCGCAGCGUGACGCCGCGGAUGUACUCGUUGGGGUGCUGCAGGUUGUUGCGGAGGUUCUGGCAGAUGAGGAUCAUCUCAGGGAGGACGCGGCCGGCUGCGUCGCGCUUGUCAAUGAUCUCGAGGUAGAGGAGGAGCAGCUUCUGGAUGGUGUGGUCCUCGGAGGGGAGGACGUAGCGGACGACGGUGAUGAAGAGCUGCGGCAGGGUCUCGCCAUUGAGG